ACCGGUUUCUUGAACUCUGAGACCGGUCCCAGAACACAGAAAAGUUCAGUAAAGUAGUUCUAAAACCAUCUAAGCUUUCUGAACUUAUUCUAACUAGGUAUCUUCACCACAAAUAAUCUUUUCUUCAUACCUUAGGUGUCGAGCUUUCCGAAUGAGUCUUAGUUCUUCAAUUUGAAUCUUUUCUUCAAAACUUCUGCGAUCCACUCUUCAAGACUCCAACCAACUUUACGAAAUUCGCCAACCUAUAAAAUCCUUAACAAUCUCCCCCUUUGGCGAUUUCGUGACAAAAUAUACUAUAAAUUCGUACACAACGCAGAAACAAUAAAAAGAAGAUCAUCACAAUCACCAAACGAUAAUCUCCUGCAUGAUCGAUCCAAUAAACGAAAAUUACAAUUUUCAUAAUCUUAAUACAAACUCUAUGACUUAGACAUGGAGUCUUGAAGUCUUGAAUUAUUCCUGCAAAAACAUUCUCAAAACAUAAUUAAGAUUCAAGUAUCAAGAUCAAACAAAAUAUCAAGUCAUAGUUCAUAAUCAAACACCUAAAGCACUAACUAAACAAAGUUCAUCUAAAGUUCAUCUAAACAAAAUGCUGCAUCAAAGAAAAAUACAUCAUGAAGCUAAGCUAAAAUGCAUCAUCAACAUCAAGAACCACCAUCUCCAUCUCCCCCUUUUUGUCAGAAAGCGCCAAAAUGACAAAAGAAGGAACCCGGUAACACCUAAUCGGAAGCAUCCCCUGGAGGUAAAUCUGCUCGGCAACAUCCUAACUUGUCAAAAAUCAUAUUCAAUAAGCGCUUCAUCUUGCUUACAUCCUUCCGAAUCGCAGCUUGCUCCGCAGACAAUUUCUGAAGCUCCUCAGAUAGACGUUGUUGCUCACGAUACACAGAGGAAACGGAGAUAUCUUCUUCAGAAAUGUCCAUAGAAAGUCAUGAAGAAGUAGCAGUAGCAGGAGGUGGAGCAGCAGGAGGGGAAAAAGCACGCUGAGACGGUGUACGAAGCUGCACCGAGGACUUCACAAAUGUCCGUUCAUUUAUCCGACCCAAACUGUGCUCAUAAGAUGUACACCGGACAUCCACAUCACGAAGUCGCAGAAUCCUCAUGAUUAUCAAUGGAAAUGGCAGCCUUUCAUUUUGUCCAGAAGUUUUGAUGUCUUUUGCCAUCCUCCGCCAGAUCAGAAACGGAAUAUUCACGUUAAUAUUCUUUGCACUCACAAUAUGUGGCCUUCCCAAAAGAUACAUAUACAGAAUACGAUCCCACCUCAGAAUCUUCGUGUUUGCGAGAGGCAGAAUGUUGUAGCAAACAACGAAGUUUAAAAAACGAUACUCCAUUUUGAAAUCUUUGGACAUAACCAUAAUGCCGUUCGACUCGGUUCCCGGCAUGCAAAUAGUGUUCACUACACGAUUCCAAUCGCGAAGUGAGUCGAACCCAGAUUGUAGAUAUUCCACUCCGUCAGUCUUAGCUUCCAUACCUAGCACCGACGCUAUUGUAUCAGGAGUGAUGGAUAACUGAACACCACGUACGGAAGUCUUAAACACGUACGGGCCGCCGUCGGAGUCACAUAGAUGACCUGCUCUCAUAUAGAAUUCUCUGAUCAAUUCCAAACAAAAACCGGUUUGCUCCGGAAAAUUACAAAUCUGAUGAAGAUUUCCCUGUUCAAAUAAAUCCUGAAAACCCGGCACACAACUAAUGAUACUGGCCACCCCAACAUCUCGCUCACCAAUGCAGUGUUUCGACGAGUACAUUGACCGUCGAUUAGAUGGAACAUCCUGCAGACUGUGACGUGGUGGCUCAGAUCCCGGUUAUCGAAUUUCAACACCUCCGGACUUACGACGACCGGGACGCUCAGUCGCCUUUCCUUUGCCUUUAUCCACAGCUUUUCCUUUUCCCUUGCCUUUCCCAGUAUCCUUAUCCUUAGCUAAUACCUCGGGAACAAAGGCCUCCCAAUCCGGUUCAUCCUCCUCAGAGUCGUCGCCAGGAGCAUAUUCGCUCUCUUCAUCUUCCGGUUGAUACUCAAUCGGCCGUUUAGCUUUGGAGCGCUGUCGUUUGCUUCCACGACCACCGCCAGCCAUAAGAACAACAAGCACAAGAAGCCACGAGUACAUUUUCGAAAAUCACCUGUUAAACAUAAUGAAAUUUACAUAUAUAAAAACAAAUUUUUCCAAAAAAAUUCCAAACAUGUUUAGCAAGUUGGUAUAUAAAUACUAGAUGAUCCUAGGGGCCUCAAGAUCAUGAAAAACAAGAACCACUCAUGCACCAAAAUCAGCCAAAAGCAAUUUCCCACAAAAAAAAAAAACAUUGAAAAUCAAAUUUUUAUCAUGAUAAACCUACAAAAUGAACCAAAAAGAUGAAGAAAUACUAGAGAAAAUGAAAAUAACGGAUCUAAAAACAAGAUCGAAGCCUAAAAGAACACAUUCAUCAAGAUCUCUAGAACAAACACCAAAAAAUCUGAAAUAAAACCUAAUUUCGAAAUAUAUCAAAUAAAAGUAACAAAAUCCGAAAUCUUACCUACAAUCAAUGCAAACCAAGGAAGAUCGGGAGCAAUCCCACUCUAAGGACAAGAGAGAAGCAGGGGAGAACACUGGAAACGAAAAGCUCAAGUUUUAAAAGAAAUAAAAAAAAAACUACGCAUAAGUCCUUUUAUCGGGUCUGGCGGAGUGACCGGUCUCUCUCGCCUGGUACCGGUCCCAGAACCUGAAAAUUUUAAAAUGUUUUAAAUGUCGCCCGAAAAUUCAAAGAAAAAUGUAAGGAUAUUUCAAAAUGUUUAAUCAUCACAAAUAACCUAUUUCCAUCCACAAAAACUUUAAAUAAAAUUUCAUAAAUAAAUUUUGAAAAACUAAUUUCAGGGAUAUUCAAAAUUUCAAAUUUUUGACCCGAAAAUCAAUGAGACUUCUCGAUACAUAUAAAAUAAAAUCCCACACAUCAUGCAAGAUCUAGGAAUAUAUUGUAUCAUUUUACCAUCAUAUUUUGUUUAAAGAAAAUGAAUAAAUAGUUCUCAUAAUCGUGAAAUUAACAUAACAUGAUCAAAUUGAGUUAUGCACAUCAUUCGAGACAGGAGUGGCUCUUUGAGCAUCUUUUAUUAACAUUCCACCUUAUAUCACCUACAAGAUGUAUAGCUCUUUGAGCAUAUUAUUCUUACUUUUUCUCUUUCUGAGAGGUACUUUCCUUUUGUCUCACAUAGAUACUUUAAUCAACACGUGGUAGCUGCACACACUAACCGGACGACCGGGGUGGUAGCUCUUUCCUCCAUGUGGUGGUAGUUUUCACACUCCCAGCAGGGAUGUAACUCUUUUCACAUCUUGAAUUUCAGAAAUUUUCAUAGCUAAAAUUGGAAAGACUCCCCCUAAAUUAGUGCAACCCUCAAGUCAAAAAUAUUAUAGCUAUUUCAAAAACAGAGAAAGAUUUAUUCAUCUCAAAACUAAUAAUCAAACAAACAAUUCCAACAUUCAAAUUUCAAAGCAUGAGGUGCUGAAUUUGAUUCAAUAUGCUAAACAGAAUUUCAAUGAUUUGAUCGUUCAAAAAUAUGUCAAUAGAGAAUAACCCUGACAUUGAUCAAUCAAAAAUUAAAUAUGAAAUACUUAAAUUCACAGAUCAACUCAUCUCCCAAAACAGCAACAUUAUGCAAGAAAUUCAACCAACCCUCAAACACCGAAAAUCAUGCAAGAAAAGAAACAAAAUAUGCAACAUGCACAUGAUCUGUGGCUCAAUAGAAUAUAUCUAGAUUGAAGGAUUCAUACCAAUUGCCUUUCUUAAAUGCAGAAAACGCUUUUGAUCCAAAGGUUUGGUUAGAAUAUCGGCAAGUUGAUUUUCAGUUGAAAUGUAUUCAAGUUGUAAAACGUUUGAUUCAACCAGUUCUCUUAAAAAGUGAUAUCUUAGUUCAAUAUGUUUUGUUCGAGAAUGUAAAACAGGGUUUUUAGAAAUAUUAAUUGCACUCGUGUUGUCACACAGAAUAGUAAGAGUGGUAGAAGGAAUCCGAUAGUCGCUCAGUAAGCUUUUCAUCCAAAUUAAUUGAGUAGAGCAACUCCCAGCCGCAAUGUAUUCAGCUUCUGCAGUGGAAAGAGCAAUACAAUUUUGUUUCUUACUGUGCCAAGCGACCAAACAAUGUCCAAUGUAAAAACAAGCUCCACUAGUACUUUUCCGAUCAUCUGCGGAGCCUGCCCAGUCAGCAUCCGAGUAGCCGAUUAGGUCAAGAGAGGUUCCCAUAGGAUACCAGAGGCCAUACUCGGUUGUUCCUUUAACAUACCGAAUGAUCCUUUUAACUGCUUUCAGAUGUACUUCCUUAGGGUUAGCCUGAUAACGAGCACAGAUUCCAACACUAAACGCAAUAUCUGGCCUGCUCGCAGUCAAGUACAAUAAGCUACCAAUCAUGUUUCUGUAUUGUUUCUCAUCCACACUCUGACAUUCUGAAUUCAACCCAGUCCUUUGUUGCUUGUACCCAUUGGAGUGUCAAAAUCUUUUGCACUGUCCAAUCCAAAUUUCUUAACCAGUUCCUUUGCAUACUUUGUCUGUGACAGAUGAAUUCCAUCUUUUGAUUGUUUAACUUGAAGUCCAAGGAAGUAAUUAAGCUCCCCCAUCAUCGACAUUUCAAACUCGCUGGUCAUUAACUUUGUAAAAUCAGCGGCAUCCUUAUCUUUAGUAGCUCCAAAAACUAUGUCAUCCACAUAUAUUUGUGCCACUAUGAAAUUAUACUUCAGAUGUUUUACAAAGAGAGUCCUAUCCGCUCCCCCUCGAUUAUAGCCCUUUUCCAAAAGAUAUUUUGUCAACCGUUCGUACCAUGCUCGCGGAGCUUGUUUUAGUCCAUAAAGUGCCUUUUUCAAUCGAAAAACAUGAUUUGAAAAUUUUGAGUCAAUAAAACCUUUCGGUUGUUCAACAUAAACUUCCUCUUUUAAAAAUCCAUUUAGAAACGCACUUUUGACAUCCAUUUGAAAGAGCGUGAUUUUAAAAUGGCAAGCAAUUGCGAACAAGAUACGAAUAGAUUCCAGACGGGCAACCGGAGCAAAGGUUUCAUCAAAGUCUAUUCCCUCAAUUUGUGAGUACCCCUGAGCCACAAGUCUAGCUUUGUUCCACACAAUAGUACCAUUCUCAUUUUUCUUAUUCUUAAAGAUCCAUUUGGUACCAAUAAUAUGUUGUUGCUCAGGACGAGGUACCAAUUCCCAUACAUCAUUACGAACAAAUUGACCAAGUUCUUCUUGCAUGGCAUUUAUCCAAUAUUCAUCACAAAGAGCUUCGUCGACAUUCUUUGGCUCAAUCAAAGAAACAUAACAUGCAAAUUCACAUUGUAACUGACUUCUUGUUCGCACACCAACAUUAGGAUCCCCAAUCACAUUUGACAAAGGGAUUGUCUUCUUGACUCUUGUCAGGGGGUAUUCUCAGGAGCGUAUGCUAGUAGAUUUUCAGACGUGUGUUUUGUGAGCCUCAAUGAAUCAUUUGAUUAAUUAUUUUCAGAAGAGUGUAAUGGGAAUUAUCAAGUGUAGAAAUUAUCAUCAUUCACAGGCAAUACAAACGGUAGAAUCAUUAGCAUCAUCAUUCAUCAAAGAGUUAGAAGACCGAUUCAAGAAGAACUCACAGAGAAGCUUCAUUCUAGUUUUAUAUGAUAGACAUCUACAACCGCUUGAGUGAUCUGUAAAUUGUACGGCGACUGAUAGACUUACGACUUGUCGUAGAAUAACCAAGGGAAAUAUGGCCUUGUCACUGCCGAGAGUAACAAAUUUUCGAAGAUUUUUCACGAUCCGUAAGGAUAUAAACAUUAUUACUCGCCGAAGGACACGAAAGUUAUUUAAUGUUUAGGUUUCCUACCAAGCCAAAGUUCAUAAGGCGUAUUCAAAGUGCCGGACUCAACAUAAAUCGAUUGAUAAAUAGACAAGCUGUGUAUAACUGUUUCAGCCAAAAAUGUAAAGCAAUUUUUGACUAUUGAAGCUAACCGAGACGCAUCUCUUGUACAACCCUAUUCUUGUCGUUCAACCACUCGGUUUCUGUUGGGGUGUAUAGGGAAUCGAGAAUUCUGUGUUUUAUACCAUUUGAACACAGAAAUCAACAAAUUUAGAAUUUAGAAUUCUCCCCCUGAUCGUUCGAAUACGUACAAUUUUAUCAUUUGUUCAGUCAUAAGGACGGAGGCAGAUUUCAGAAAAAGAAUUAAAGUAUCAGCUUUUUUCUGUAGUAAGGCAUCCAUACAAAGCGAGUAAAAUGCAUCAGACAAUAAAAGAUAUAGCGUUUUCCCCCAAACUUUGAAUCUAGAUGGUCCAUCAGUCCAAUUCGAAGUAGACUCUAAAGGCUUAGUACUGUCCCCAUUAGUGGUUUUCAAGUCUUUAUGGUGGAUCUAGUUUGUUUUUCACCCAAUUGGCAACCCCACAGCAGUGUUCUAUCUUAAAAUCAUCUUAGGUAACCGUUAACUUACCUGUCCUUCUGUGUACUAUAGCUCCUUAAAAGUUUAUGUGCCCUAGUCGUUCAUUUGCCCAUAAAGUUUCAGUUUCUAAUGACGCGUAGUUACAGAUGUUCAGGUGGACGAACUAGGACUAAUAACAAUUAUUCUGCGGAUCUAAUGCCCUUUAAAACAGAUUUUCAUCACGGUCACAUGCAUUCAUUUAUCAGAAAAAUUCAAAGAAUGAUCCGUCAUCACACAGUUGGUUUAUGUUACGAAGAUUAUAGAUUUGAAGCCCCUCAACAUAAAAAGAACUGUUUCAACAGUAAGGGCAUCUUGAAAUAUACAUGCUCUGUCUUUUUCCACAAUAUUUUGACGAGUCGAGUUCUCCAAAACAACAAGUCCUGUCGGGGAUUUUGCGUUCAAAGGAAGUAAACCAGAUUUUAUCUCGGUCACGGUGUGACAGGGAACAGCCACUAUCCAGGAUAUCCAUGAUGAUUAUCGUAAGCAUGAAGCGGAAGUGCUGAAUGACUAGGCAUGGAAGAGUUUCACACUUGCGCACCAAACUUACGUGUUUUUGGGCUUAUGUCCUUCGUUGCUUUGUUGUGAUGUGGCUUAGUCGACGAUUUGAAUUGACUUCUUCUUCAUAUCUCCUUCUUGGUUUCCACGCCUAUGUUUGCUUUGAUUCGGAGAUUUGGUCUGUCCAUGUUCGUUUCUUUAUGGAAUCAACCUUUUUUGGAGUCCAAGUUGAUUUCCUCUUGAUAGAUCAUACUUUCAUAAGUGAUGUUCUUUGAUUCAAGGUGUUGAUGAGCCUUUCCCUUUUGUUGCCAGCUUCUUUAUUCUAAAGACCAAAAACUAUAGUCAGAUUAUUUUGAGGAGGGACGAACUUACCAUAGAGCUUAGGAACAUCAGUUGAUGAAUGUCCGCCAUCUUUCUUUGUUGCUUGGUCAACAUAGGUCCGUUCGUACCCAAGUCCAAGUUUGUUUGUUUGACCAAGUCCAAGCAUCUUGUCGAGUUUACUUGAUCCAGACGAAAAUUGGUUCAAAUCUGACUUUAGUUGAAUAAUCGUCUUGGUGAAUUCCAUAUUUGCUUCUCUAGCUUUUGAGUAUUGCUUGGUGAGAAAAGUGAUAUUCUCCACUUGUGUCUCUUUUUCUUUUUCAAGUAAUGAGCACUUCUCGAUCAAGGAAUUAUGGGCCUUCGUCAAGCCAUCUCUCUCUUAUUCUAAAUCCUUUGUUAGAGAGACCAAUUUUGCAUUUUCUUGUUCCAACUCAUGUAGGCUUCGCCGCAGUCUCUUGUUAUGUUUAGCCAUCUUCUUUGAUUCAACAACCAAUUGUUGAUAUGCUGCGACUAUGUCAUCUUCGUCCGAUUCUUCAUCCGAUGAGUUCUCCGAAGAUGACUUCUCUUGUAUAGAUGUUAUGGAGAUCGAGUCAGCAGAUACUAAACACAUAAGAGUUGAAUCCUGUGCAAUUAGUGCCGUGGCAUUUACAUCCUCUUCACUCGAAGUGGAAUCGUCAGAUGAGGAGUCAUCCCAAGUAAUAGCUUGCAUCGCUUUCUUCUUCAACGACUUUUUAUUAGGACAGUCAGAUGCGAUAUGGCCAAAGCCUCUACACUUGUAGCAUUGAAUUUGACCUUCACCGCUUUUCUUCUCUUUUGUGGAGUCCUUUUGAGAGUUAUCAGAUUUUCUGUAUUUUGAUGAGGAAGAAGAAGACGAACCCCCUUUAGAUUUGUUUGUCUUGGAAGAAGUAGACUUGGGAGGAAACUUCUUUCUAAAGUUCCGACGAAACUUCUUUGUAAGAAGUGCUAGUUGCUUUUCAAAGUCCUCCAGGCUUUGCUCCGACUCUGAAUCUGAUGAGGUUGAAGUGACAUCUCCUUUUGUUGAUUUUAGAGCCAUCCCUGAGGCUUUAGAAAAAGACUUGGAAGAAGACGAAUUAGAUGGAAAAGUCAUUUCAUAAGUUUGAAGAGCACCUACUAAUUCUUCUACCUUGAGUUCAUCAGGAUGUUUGACCGUUUCAAUAGCUGCAACCUUAGGGCGGAAUCGUUCGGGAAGGAUUCUCAAAAUUUUUCGAACAAUUUUGGAAUCGGGAAUUUUCUCGCCCAUGUUAGCACACGUGUUUACAAUGUCUUGCAGACGAGCAUAGUACUCGGUAAAAGAUUCAUGUUCUUCCAUACGAAUGGAAUCAAAUCUACUAGUAAGCAUUUGCAAUUUUUGAAUCUUAACCAAGCUUGUACCCUCGUGUGUAACUCGCAAAGUGUCCCAAAUCUCUUUGGCGAUUUCGCACGCCGAGACGCGAGAAAAUUCAGUUUGAUUUAAAGCAUUGAAUAAAGCAUUGAUACCUUUCCCGUUGAACGAAGAUAGUUCAUUUUCCUCUUUCGUCCAUUUAUUUCUAGGUUUCGGUACGGUAACAUUCUCGACAACUUCGGUAGGAUGUUUCCAUUCGAAUUCAAUGGCUUGCCAAACCCGCUCGUCGAUAGCAAUAAGAAACGCCCUCAUACGGACUUUCUAAUAAGUGUAGUUAGUGCCAUCGAAGAGCGGGGGUCGAUUGAUGUUACCGCCCUCAGCCAUGAAUUACAACCUAUACCCGCUCUGAUACCACUUGUAAGAUAUGGAUCCCGAGGAUCUAAAAGGUAAGUAACACCUAGAGGGGGGUGAAUAGGUGUAAAAACGGCAAACUCGAAAAUCUCGAUGCAAAUAAAACAAAGUAGCGGAAAAUAAAACAGCACACCGAGAAUUUAACGUGGGAAAACUCCAAUUCGGAGUGAAAAACCCACGGGACCGAUCACGCAAAGAAAAUCCACUAAGAAAACUUGAGUACAAGUGAUUUCGACCAAAAACACACGACUCAAUUUACCGAUUUCUCGUUGACGGUGAUCUUUGCCGGUCCUCGAUCGAUAGGAAUCCACCAAUCGACCUUGCUGCAACUCCUCGCAGCGUCAACGCCUCAACUCCUCGAAGCGUCCACCGAAUCCUCGGCUUCACGCGAGAUCCACGCGUCGAACCUCCUUCCGGAGCUUGUAGAAUCGAAGAUUUGUGAUGAUUUAACCUUUGAAUACCAUAAGCUAUGAGGGUUCACCUUUAAUCAAACAUCUACUUGAUUCUCGUAUGGGUUAUCGAGUAAAAACGAAGAAUCAAGCCGAUUGUUGAUUGUUGGAAACUCGUUAUGUGAAUCAAAGCAUUGAAACGAAGAAAAAUAAGUUUCUAGGGUUUAGAAUCAGUAAAAAUUCAAAGCCUUAAACUUUUAGAUGACCCACAUAGCUUAUUUAUAUGUUUAGAAGACUUAGAAGUAGACUAGGAUUGCAAAAAGUCCUUUUUAAAAACCUGUGUCGUCCUCAGAGACCGGUCUUCUCGAGGAGACCGGUCUGUGAGAGACCGGUCUCUCAAGUGAGGAACCGGUCCCUCGCUGCGUGGCCAAAAUCACAACGUUCGGGAACCGGUCUCUCAUCACAGGGGACCGGUUGCAUCAAGGUUCACGCAGUGAGGACCUUAGGGGAACCGGUCUCUUGAACUCUGAGACCGGUCCCAGAACACAGAAAAGUUCAGUAAAGUCGUUCUAAAACCAUCUAAGCCUUCUGAACUUAUUCUAACUAGGUAUCUUCACCACAAAUGAUCUUUUCUUCAUACCUUAGGUGUCGAGCUUUCCGAAUGAGUCUUAGUUCUUUAAUUUGAAUCUUUUCUUCAAAACUUCUGCGAUCAACUCUUCAAGACUCCAACCAACUUUACGAAAUUUGCCAACCUAUAAAAUCCUUAACAAGAAGGCCGCAGACUGCGCUAAAAAAUGCGGGCCUUGUCCUCGUCGUCCCUCACAACAAGCGGUACACAGUGUAGUAUCCGGGAGAACUCCCUCUCGUAUUUAGCCAUUGACCGCUCGUCCUGGCGCAAGCUGCACAAAUCCUGCUCCGUCUUCCUCUUGACGCUGGUCGGGAAGUGGUGCGCCAAUAGAAGCUCCUUGAACCUCGUCCAAGUAAUCGCUGCCAAGUCGGUGUUGGGGCUGUCCUGGAUAUCCAACCACCAACGGUAGGCCUCGCCGUCCAGAAAAUGGGUGACGAGCCAAACUCUGUCCCUCUCCUCGACGAAGGUAUCUCGAAACAGCUUCUCCAUGUGCAUCAAACACUUCUCAACAAUCCAGUGGUCGACGUUCUCGCCAUCAAACGUCCUCGGGCUGCACCUCCUGAACUCACCGAGGCGCUCCAUGAGCCGAUCCCGCUCUGCUCCCUCAGCCAUCACGGGGAAAGUCGCCCUUGUCGCUGGUCUCUGAACUGGUAGUGCCGCAGCCACCUCCUCCCGGGGUGCGAUCGCCGGUGCUGCACGUGAAGAACUGGGCGCGGGGGACAGCGCCCUCGGUGCGACGUUCACCACGGGUGCUAGCGGUGUGGGACCCUGGGUCUCCCUCGAAGCUGCCGCUUGCUGAAGUAGGAGGUCCUCCAGAUGCUUCAUUCGCGCCUCCUGCCGCUGAGCCAUCUCAGCCUGUCGCUGCGCCGCUGCCGUCUGCUGCGCCAACAGAUCAGUGAGAACCGCAAGCUGGGCCCUCAAGUCACGGACCUCACUAGAUCCGGAAGUAACGGAGGUCUCGACCUCCUCGGGAUGUGCCGCAUCAUCCGCCCCGGCAGACUGGGAGCGUGUAAUCGGCAUCGUCACUACAAAACAUAAAAGCGCAAGUUAGUAACACACGCUAUCGCAUCCCCGCUCAAAAUAACCCAAACCCCGAAUCAUGCGAAAGUGGGGAAGUAUCCUUCACUACCAACUCCCGAUGUUACGUUGUCGGCCGCCAACGUAACCCUCUGCGGAGUUAGAAGCCAUAUACUCCGAUCGAACUCUAACUUUUUAGAGUUAUCAUAAACCCAAUCAGGAUACUUUCGCUCACAAGUCAAAUAGACCUCGUCUCUCACGAGCCUACUUCCUAAAGUCAAACCGGCCUAAGGUUCGCUAGGUCCCCUAAGACUCAACCCUAGGCUCUGAUACCAAAUUAAUCUGUCACGCCCCGGGACCGGCGGAGGCCCUCCCGGGGGCGUGCCCAGACCCGCCAUAUGUCAACACAUAUAAGGCGUCUACAAUAAAAGCGAAAGUAAAAGCAAGAGAUAGAACAAAUAGGAUAAAUAGCAACUAAUGAUAUCAGAGCGAGUAAAGUUCUAUCCUCAAAACCAGAGUAAAAGAAACAUAUCUAACAAUAAAAGUAGCCAUAAAGUGAUACAAUAUCAGUCUCAAAGGUACACAAAAGGGUGGUCUCUAGUACACUGGUACAGCUCUCAACCUCUCCAAAAAGAAAUACAUCGAGAGGUAGACCACCUAAACUCGUCUCUCGCUGAAGGGCUAACUCGAAGCGACGCCCUUCCCACGGUCCCUAGCCUCUCCCAGCGUGGAAGGCUCUGAAAGAAAAUAUAAAACAGAGGGUGUGAGAACUAUAAUUUAUAGUUCCCAGUGGGCAAUUACUAACCUCAGCUCAUCGCACCACUAGGUCCCAAAAGAAAGGGUGAGUCAAAAGCAGUUGAAAUAAUAACAAUGAGUAAAUUGCAUUUAUGAAAGCAUAAUUAAAAGCUACUCUAAUGCAUUGUAAUUACAUAUGGCAUUUAUGUAAUGCACCUUUAUCUUGUCAUGAAUACUAUGCCUCUACAUGGCCACAUGGGAUAUCAUGAGAUACUUCAUGAAGUUAUGAAAGUGAUACUUUAUCAUGACUACAAUGCAUGUACGAAGGCAAUAAACGACAUCUCCUAGCAUACUACAUGUAUGUAUGAGUACCCAAUUGCCCACAUCUAUGCUAGAAGCAAAUCCAAGUAAUCCAACUACUACUCUCUAUCUAGUAGUGAUUAUCACACACUCAACAUUGUGUCGGUUUCCAUUUCCAAAUAGGGACCUACCCAAGGUAGUCCAGCUUGUGCCGCCUAAGUGCCUGUGGUAGCCCAACAUUCCUACUCUUGGAAUGUAUCUGUCCCACUCGAUCCCGUAGGCUUCUCAACACCGCACGAGCGAACAUAAGUCGCGUAGGCUAACUCCGGAGUGCCGGCUUGUGGAGAGUGACCGACACAAGCAUGUGCGAAUGAGCACAAAUGGCAAACAAGCAAGGUCACUGUCUCAAAUACUCUAUCCACAUGUCUCUAACAUGGCAAGGUCACUAGCAUCCCAAGGAUCUAGCCCAAUGUCUCUAAGUGAUGUCCCAACACUCACUUGCUUAGUGCCUCUUUAUGACACUUAAGCAUCACACUGAUCAAGCCCAACUCUUGUUCUAUGUUUCAUUUAAACAUUAAUACCAAUGAUUACCAUAGCCCGGGCCCAAUGCCUCUUUAUGACAUUGACCCAAUUCUCAAAUAGUCCAAGUUCUCAAGCCCUCUCUAGGCUUCUAAAAUCCCUAAUGUCACAAUUGGCAUAUAGGUUAAAUGCAAGAAAGCAAGAUCCAUUUUCAUGAUAGGGGCCAUAGUUCCAAAUCUCAUCUAGAAUGCUAUGUUUCACAUGCAUGCUCUCUCUACUGCAUAGAGGUCAAAAAUCUACUAUAUGUAACAUGAACAUUUUAAGCAUUCAAAAAUUCACAAUAAAUACAUAUAACAAGAAUAUGCAUGCUUUUUCAUUUUACGACAUUUAAAACAUUAACAAUGGGAUUUUUCCGUUGUGUGGCUAGGUCAAACCCACCGAACCGUCGCGUGCUCCCUCGAUUCGCCGAACGAAGUUGUCCACGAGCCUCGAACUACCCUAAAAGUAUCGAGCGAAGAGAUACACGGGCAUUACGAUCAACUCUAGGCUCAAACAUUAAUAAUCACAAGAAUAGGGCAAAAACUCACCUAGGGGGUAGAAACCCUCUCUCAAGUUCCAAAAGGAGGCUAGGAUCCUUCAAAAGCAACCUAAACCAAGGUUCUAAUCUCAUAAGAUUAGCUCAAAAAGCCUCCAAUCAAAAAGCCCCAAAUAAACCCCAGAUUUCCCAUUCUAGGGUUUCAUCCUCCAAAAUCUACCCAAAGCUAGGUCUAGAGGGAAGAAACAAACAACCAACCUCAAGAGAACUCCAAUUCAAGCUCCAAGGGUGAAGAUCUUCUCUCAAGCAAGCUCCAAGUUCAAGCUCCACGCACCAAGGAAGAAGAGAGGGUGAGGAAGAUGCUCCAAGUCCACUAGUAGCUCUCCAACUUCUUCUUCUUCCCUCCUUCUUCUCCUUCUCCUUCUUCUUCUUUUUCUCCUUCUUCUCUAUCAAGGGUGUAGAGAGAGUUGAGAGAAGAGAAAUGAGGAGAGGAGAGAGUGGAUGGGUCAUAUAGACCCUCUAUUGUAACAAAAACCAGCUAGGUCCCUCAAAAAUCCAAAAUUGCAUCAGCCCGGUCUGGGCCAUUUUCGCCCAGAAGGAUCGGUCUCUCCCCAGCAGGGAUCGGUCUCUCGCUGCGAACCCGAAAAACCAACGUUCGGGAACUGGUCUCUCCCUGUGCGGGACCGGUCUCUCACUGCGAAGGCGCGCUCGGGGACCGGUCUCGCCUGCCAGGGACCGGUUGCCUCAAGGCUGCCGCAACACUGCUCACUGGGGGACCAGUCUCUCCUUCCAGGGACCGGUCCCCGAGAGUAAAAACUCUCAGGACUUGUCCAGAAUUCCAGUUUUUGAACUUUUUAAGUCGGAAAACAUUCUACAACCCUCCACCUAGUGUGGAAAAGCUCGAAAUACCUCCAAACACUCGAACCUCGCAAUUUGCAAAGGUCCAGUAUGUUACAAUUGGGUUCUUUACUUAUCAUUCACUUGGUUUUCUAGGCUAUUCUUGCCACAAUAAGUUAGACUUUUUCUAGCUAUGCUCUUUUUAAUGCCAAUCUCGUCGCUAAUGUCAAUAUCACCUUGAUUUACUAUUGUCAUGGUCCAAUUCCCACAUUCACGCAAGUAUAGGGUUCAACAAACCUAUUUUACAUAGUCCUCUAUCAAUUUCUAUGUUCAAGUACGUUAGAAACAUACAACUGACUUUUAACCAACCAACACUUGUCCAUUACCCUACGUGCAUGAUUGGAAUUUACAAAUAUGCUCAAAAUGAAGUGACAUAAACAUAGAAGGGAACUCGAAGGUUCCGGAUAGCACCCCCUACCUUGUAGGUAUGCUACGAGCUCACGAAUCGAAUUCGCUGAUUUAUAGACCUCUAUGCCGCCCGCUACGGCAAUCUGUACGAAAAAUGGCCGCUUCGCCAAUAGCUCCGCAACCGCUCGUCGGAUCGCCAAACUGUUCGCGCCAACACGUUCAUUAGCUUAACAAUUAGGGCAAAAAGAUAUCAAUCCCAAGAUUGAACUCCAAAAUCUCAAAACCCUAACUUAGUCCCAUCACCUAGAGUCCAAGCUUUUCCUUCAAAAGCCUUGCUCAAGCUUGCUCCCACUCGUAGGAAGCUCCAACACCAAGCUUGACUCCUUCACAAGCUCCCUUGCCCAAGCUCUAGGGAGAAGGAGAGAGAGAAGAAGAAGGUUUAGAGAGAGAGAGGGAGAUGUGUUUUGGGUUAGGGAUGAGAAAUGAGAGGAAAAGCUCAUCCCUCAAACUCAUAUACACCCAACUUUGCACAUAAGCCAAAAACCCCCUCAACUUUGAACUAUUCACAGCAACCCAACCUGGGCAAUUUUCGCAUAGGGGGACCAGUCUCUCCCCUCAGGGACCGGUCCCCGAGAGCACUCCUCAAGGGACUUAGCCAAAUUUUCCACUUUUUCAGUUGGCUACGCGUAUGGGGACCGGUCUCUCCCUCAGGGACCGGUUCCCGUAAGUCCAAAUUCCAGGACUUAGCCGCUGGGCAAUUUUUCAGUCUAUGGGGACCGAUCUCUCCCCUCAGGGACCGGUCCCCGAGAGCUAAAAUUCUGGGACUUAACCAUUUCCCCAAAAUUCACUCUCUCGGGUCCUACGCCAUGUAUAUUGAUUCUAAUACUUAUAGAACCCAUUGUAAAGCACUUUAACUCGUCCGACUCUGCGUUAGGCUCAAUUCGACGAAACUCGGCACGGUUUACGGGGAUGCGAUACGUUACAGGCAUGAACAAUUAGGUAGAAACAUAUUAUGACAAUGGCAUUGUGACUAGUGGCUAUGUAUCCUCAAGUUGAGGAUUUGAUCGAUACUCACGAUAAGUCUUGGCUUGAGGGAGGUUGCUCCCCCUCGGGCGGGCGUGGUAAAGUCCCCCCAGAGGACGGUCCCAAGGGAGGUUCGAGGCCCCCUGUCACGCCCCGAGACCCUGCCUAUUUGGCCGGAUUUGGGCACGCCGACAGGCUGCCGAACGGACAGAGUCUCCCCUGUACGUCCUAGGCAUCGGAAUCCAUACAAUACAAGAGGUUCCAACCAGGAAGAGUAUUCAACAUACAGAUUGCAUAAGGAAGUAUCAAACAACAUAAACAGCUACACUAUAACAAGCAUUCCCACAACAUGCAUUUUACAUCUCAUUUACAAUUCAUUUUACAAUCAACUUCCAAAUACAAUCAAAGUUAUUACAAUUUUUACUUAUCUACAAGUUUGAUACAUCUUGUUGUUUUCAUUUCCCCUCUACCCCUAGGCUAUGCCGACUCGGGGUACCGCUAUCUCUGGUCUCUGGGUAGGCGCUAUCUAUAGAGCUACGCCCUUGCCUCACACCGCCGCGCCGCUCACAUGCGAACCUGUAACACCCCAAAACAACGCGGGGUGAGAACCAACUCCAUGGUUCCCAGUGGGUACGGCCACCCAAGGAAAAAGCUCGACUAAUAGGUCUAAGGAGGCACUGCAACAUGUUAGUGCAACAAUAUACAACAGAUAUAUAUUCAAAUUGAAAUACAUGUCAUGUCUCACAAUAUGCGAUAUGAAAUCAUACAACUAUGCAACUAAGCAGUUCACUUGUAGAUCCAUCGAUACUACUUUCAAUCUUGCUAUUCAUAGCCCAUAUCAACUAGCUUUAAGGUUUCUACUUACCUUAGUUCCAUAGCUCAAGCUCAACUAGUGUCUAAGGUCUCUACUGCCUUAGAUUGUAUCAUGUACCACUAGCCUUUAGGGUUUCCACUAUCCACCCGACUCAGCCUCGAGUCAAUCAUCGCGGACUACCGCGCACUAGCUGCAUCUCUACUACAGCCUGGCUGCCGUCACAGCCUACCGCACCUCUUGACUUAGCCAUCUGGCGGCGAACGCGUCGUCCUUACACAGCAAGGUCUCAAGUCAUGACUUAGCUAUGUGGCGAUGAACUAAUCGCAUCUCACUCAACAAUGGUUCAGGUCACGACUCAGCCAUCUAACGGCGCGCGCAUUGCCCUUACCCAGCAAUGGUUCAAGUCAAUCUAGGCGGCAUAAUCCAAUAAGCUAAAUGGGCGAGGAGAACCAACAUACCCAUUUCAAGCUCAAGCUCAUGGUAUACCGGGCGAGGAGAACCAACAUACCCGCAGUUAGGAUUCUAUUUAUGCCAAUUCACUUACCGGGCGAGGAAAACCAACAUACCCGUUGAAUCACUAUCGGGCAAGGAGAACCAACAUACCCACAGUCUUGAUUCACUUGCACUCAGUCGCAAAUCUCAUUCGUUGCACUAUUAGCCAUCAUUCCUGUCACGCCCCGAAGCCGAUACCAAUUUGGGCCGGCCCGAGCACGUCAAACAGACGCCGAACGGACAGAGUUUCCCCUAUCCACCCAAGGCUCAUCACAUGUACAAAUUCAAACAAGAAAUGCACUAGCGGAAACAUACACAAACGGCUUACACGAGGGUAAGCAAUAGCCAUUAGUGAAAGAAAGGAAAACUAAACAUUUACAAGUACUAUGAUUCAUUUUUGAUCAUAUACAUUGCAUCCAUUUACAUUCAUGAUUCUUUGUACUUCAUUACACAUUUAUCUCAAAAUAGGCUUUACAUUCUUCUCUCAACUUCACUAGUCAUCAAAUACCAAAAGAUGAACAUAGGGUACUCUACUAACAAAAUGUAAACCCAACUCAACUCUGGUGGCCUCUGCCUAAGNGUGGGUUCGGCCCCAAUAUCACCGACUUUUCCACUAGGACUAACUCAGGCAAAAUAGAAAGGAUAAGCUGAAAUGUAGUAACCAAUCUACAACAUGAUGCUAAUAUGCCUGAACAAAAGCAAGGAAUAUGCUCAACAUUAACAUAUGCAGAUUAUGCAAGUUCUUUCGUUCUUUAUCUUUACACUUUGUUCUUUGUUCUUUGCUCUUUGUUCUUUAUUCUUUAUUCUUUAAUCUCAAGGCUAACCCGGGGGUUUCGCCACAUUAACUUGCUUCACAUUAAGUCCAUCAUCGCAGGAACUCACCCGCUAGGACCGUCCUUCGGGUUUAUUCCAACCCGUGAUGCAUAACUCCGGAGCGCAUCGCCCGAGGGGGAGCGACCGCCCUCGAGCACGGAACUCAUAGCAAGUAUGAUCGAAUCCUUAACUCAAAGGAUUGUAUGUUCAAUCUUGACUUUACACUAACUCUAGUGUUCUUUAUUUCACUUUAUUUUGCCACUCUAGCAAUCGUUGUUCUUUACUUUUCUUUUACUUUUGCUAUCUUUAGCAUUCUUGUUCUUUGCAUUUCUUGUUCUUAUUGCCCCAAUUUACUUUAACUUUACACAUUGUCAUUUUCAUCAUUCUUUACAUCACUUUGGUUCUUCGGCUCACCCUAACACUAGUGUCACUUUACUUUACGUUUUCGAAUGCCACUCGAUCUAUGUCAUUGUCACGACCCGCGACCACCCACCUAUUUGGCCAGGUCGUGGCGCCGCCGACAGACCGCCGAACGGACAGAGUCUCCCCUGCACGUCCUAGGCGUCACAAUCAAUUCCAAUACAAGAAGUUCCAACCAGAAAUAGUAUUCAAGCAAGAUUGCAUAAGAAAGGUAUCAAACAACAUAACACAUCCUAUGUUAUUACAAGCAUUCCUAUUAGAUUCAUUUUUACAUCACAUUUGCAUUAUUACAUUACAUUUUCUUCCAAAUACAAUCAAUGAUCGCAAUAUUAUUACAAGUUUGCUCUUUUUCUUUUCCCUCUACCCCUAGGCUAUGCCGACUCGGGGUACCUCUAUCUCUGGUCUCUGGGGUACGGCGCUAUCUAUGGAGCUACGCCCUCGCCUCGCGCCGCCGCGCCGCUCACGUGUGAACCUGUAACACCCCAAAACAACGUGGGGUGAGAACCAACUCCAUAGUUCCCAGUGGGUACGGCCACCAAAGGGAAAAGCUUGACCAAUAGGUCUAAGGAGGCCCUGCAACAUGUUAGUCCAACAGAUAUCCAACAGAUAUAUAUAUUUAAGUAUUGAAAUACAUGUUGUGCCUCACAAAAUACAAUAUGAAAUUCAUGCAGUUUAUGCAACCAUGCAACCAACUAGUAGUUCAAUCGAUACUACUUUUAUUCCUGUUAUUCACAGUUCAACCAAUUGACUUCUAAGUUUUCCUCUAUCUUAGAUUCUUGUCAAUUACAAUUCUGCUCAUAGGGUUUAACCUGCUUUUAUAAGCUAUCCACUCGACUCAGUCUUGAGUCAAUCACACGCGGAAUACCGCACAAAGUCGGGCUCAAGGUGAAGGAUGUCUCACAUGCACCUCAGCCCUAAAUCCACUCAACUGGGAUGCAACUAAAACUUAUACCAUGCAUCAAAUAGUAAUGGUUUACUAUCAUGCUAACGAAUUCGAUCCAUGUUUAAAUAAUAAUGUUCAAAGACAUUGUUCACUGUUCUUUUACCCAAUCUGUAGCGAAGCCCUAGGGUUCGCCAAUAACUCACCUUUCAAUCCCAAAGUGGGGAGGGAGCUCCAAGUGCACCCAAGCCCGGGACCGUCUGCGGACCUCCAUGUGGUCCGGACCUCCAAGUGGUCCUAGUCGCACGACACUCCGGAGUACUCGACGACAAUCCCCUCCAUGUGGGAUUGGAUGGCUAUACCACCCUAAACGCAGACUGUGAGCUAGAUCUAUCCUCUCCAAGUGAGGAUACACUGUAACUAGGGUCAACACCCAAUCCAAUCCUCUCCAAGUGAGUAGGCUCUACAACUAGAGUCAAUAAUCCAAUCGAAUCCUCUCCAAGUGAGAAUGCUCUACAACUGGAGUCAACAACCCAAUCAAAUCCUCUCCAAGUGAGGAUGCUCUACAACUAGAGUCAAUAUCUCAAUAACUCAUCGACAACCUCUCCAUGUGAGGGUACUUAGGUUUACUAAGUUCUUUAUCCACAAGGCAUUUUCUAAGGGAUUCACCUAUCCCUAGGUUCUCAAACCUCUAGUGUCAAAUACACUACAUUAAUGCCACUCGAUAUGUUCUUGUUUUCCAAAGUCAAUUUCUCUAAUCGACCAAGUUCAACAUGCAUAAUUCAUCUACUAUGUUCCAUAAUAUGGCAACAUGCAUAAUUCUUCUAUCAUAUUCAAUAUAUGUCAUCAUGUAUGUGUUUCUAUUUAACAUAAUCCACAUAUCAUCUCAUUGGUAGGUAAUAUCAACUACAUAAUAUGUUUCAAGCAUUCAUAUUAUCAUGUAAGCCUACCAAUACAACUAUAUGCAUCAAUGUGAAUUCGUAUGUUUCUUAGACAUAAAGGGCGACCUAGUCGCUUCGGUAAGCACAACCCACCUCAAAUCGCUUUCCGAUUGCUUGUCGACACUUGGAAUCGGCCUCCCGCGGCGCCCGUAACCCGGUUUGGCCCGAUCUCGCGCGCGACCACCCGAACGGCCUCCAAUUCACGAUCUGAAAAUUAAAGGUCUUCGGUUAUGUGCCACGGUGCUUCAAAUCCGUUUCAUGGGUUUACGAUGUCGCCUCGGCCCUCCAGGCGGAAACGAAGCCUAAACGUCCGUUUCUUUAAUAACUUCGCACCGGCUCGACGAAUCGCCGAACCGUCUUCGCCAACGCGUUCGUUUACCUAGCAAUUAGGUUUACGGAGGGUCAAAUUAGAUCAAACCCUUAUAUUUUACAAAACCCCAUUCGGAGCCCUAAUAUGCAAUUAACCUUAAAAUAAUCCAAAUUAAAUGGAUCAACAUGCUAACAAAGCUCAUUAGAGGCUAUUAGAACACUUAAAGCUAAGGAUUAAGCCAAAUUUCAAAAGCUUACCACAAUGUGAACGCCGCGACGAAAAUAUGCCGCUCCAACGGGCGCACGAAAGCUCGAUCCGUCGCCUCCAACGCAUUCGCAAGCAUCUUCUCCACCAACCCUCCAAUUUUUAGAGAGAGAUUUAGAGAGAUGAGAGAGAUCUCUAGAGAGAGAAGGGAGGGUUUCCCUCCCCCUCCAUGCGUGUGUGUGUGUGUGUGUGUGUGGUGUGUGUGCGGCUGAAGGAGAAGAAGAGGAGUCAACACUCCACUUUAGUCAACACCACAACACUAUUCACUCCCGGGCAGUUCGAAAUCUGAUAUCUUUCGCCGGAACUCCCUGAACAUCCGUUUGAGCUCAAAGUUCACAGUUAUGUUCGGUUUUAUGUACUGAGUAAGAAUAUAUUUUAAGUUUUCAGUUUCGACCCCGUUUGGUCACUGAAAACUAUAUCGAACUGUAAUUUUUAUCAGAUAGCUGUCGGAUUUUAUUUCUCACUCUACGGGUGUCAAAAAAAUAUGAAACUUUAAAUCUAGUCUCAUAAAAAUAUUUCUGACUUAUCCUCCAAUUUUCAUAAUUUUCUGAGACUGUGCAUUUUCUGCCUAUUUAUCUGUCCCGUUUCCAACAGAAAAUUCUAGAUCUUCUAUUUUCAUUUCGAUUUCAGCACAAGUCACUUCUAACUUAUGUUUUACUCCUCUAAAUCCAAUAAAAAUAGUAUCUCACACUAUUUUUAUUUAUUUUUAUUUUUAUAUUUAAAAUUCGGUAUAUUACAUUCCACCGCAACCUCACCGGAAUCAUUCAAAUGGCUUUCAAGCCAAAUGUACACCGUAACUUCCUAAUUUAGAAGUCCGGUACCUUACAUCCUCCCCUCCUUAACAGAGUUUCGUCCUCGAAACUAUCUCACUUCAAUUCCAAUUCAUACCCCAACUCAACUUAUCAAAUAGUUGGGAGUUCCAAUGCACUUUUGCAUCUCGGAGUGGCCUUUCACUCAUCAGAACUAUCCAAAGGUUCACUAUGGAGGAUGUGAGGCCAAUCUCACUCACAUAUGCCAUGUGUAAACCCAAAAGUGCAUUACCACCAUGCAAAGAACUACUCUUGCAUUAUACACCCAAUCGAAAAAUUUCACUCCGAUUCGAUCACCUACAUUGCUUAGAAGCAAUAUCGUUGGUGACUCGACCAAUCGCGAGUGGUUCAUCACAACCGGAUCCUUGCUCUAUCACGAGAUGGCCCACUCCGGCACAUCUCCAAUCUCAAUCCACAAAAGAGCAUUGUCCUCAAGCUCCAAUUCCUACGUGGCUAUCCACAUCUCAAUGUCACACAAGAGCACUUCGCCCUUGAUAUCAUAAGCCACGACCAACUCUGCUUUGCUCUUGCGACAAAUCCAUACGAACCCUCCGUUCGUGAAUCCAAGCCAAACUCACUAAUAGAGUUAUCGGCUAAACCGAUUACGUCGGUUUCCAUCGGUGGACCAACGGUCACCCGUCCUACGUAGGUCUACCGCCUAAACCUCUUACAACUACGCAUAGCGUCCCUCGCUCACCAGCGUAGACCCAAUCAUAAUCGGGCGAGAUUCUCAUUGGAGAAUUCGCACACACUCCAACCAGGAGCAACCGUGACCCCAAACCACCUCAAAUCCUCGGGUUGGGUCACUACACACUCGGUGUAUCCUCGAUCUCAUGAUCCAACACGUGGCAUUCCACGCUCCCGGGUCUAAGCUCGGACUUCCGUCCUGACCGAAUCUCUGCCCUACCCGUAGGUACCAGGCCGCUGUCUCUCACAGCUGAUUGCGCCUGCCCAAAGGGCCCAGGCUCCACAGUCCACAAAUGGUCCAGGCAUGGGUUGUCCCCAAGCACUACCAGCCGUCGUCGUACCACACGACAUACUCUAUCGAGCUAUAAAUACACUAUCGGCUCCUAAGCACCUAGUGCGAGCCACCAGCCCUACGAGUGAUCCAUGGCCCGCUUCACACUUAGCAAUGCUGAGUGCUACUGCCAACUCACUCUCCCGGCUGAAUCGAAACCGCACUCUACGAGUACCCACACUCGAGCACUCUAUAUGCCUCUAUAGCGUUCUACACGAAGUCCAGCAUUAGGCAAUCUUGCCUAUGCACACCAGUCGCACGAGCGCAACCACCUACCUCACCUUGAGGUACUAUUAGGCCCACGUGCUCAAACUUGGCCACUAAUCGACCGUUCUCUCAACAGUGAUGCUACUUUCACUGUUCGAUAUAUCGGAAUGACAUCCGAAAUUUUCGAACUACUUGGGUGUUCUCAUAAGCAUCAUGGCUCAACUCUCGCAAUUUACUACUCAUAUUGCUCUGAGAGUCGUUUCGCCACUUCUAUCUCUACCGCGAGUCUCACUUCUCGCCAUAGAUUACCUCUAGCACUUCGCUAGUGCCAUCUGGCUCUAUACCUGUACUGGCAGGUACUACGCCCUCAGAUAACACAAAACUCCAUUUCUAGAGCAAUCAAACCUAUCUCUAGAAAUCCACCAUGAGAGAGAGCUUAGAAGCUUACCUCUCCAAGAAGCUCCAACCAAGGAGAAGAUGAAGAAGAUAAGGAAGACCUCCUUCUCCUUCUCUUUCUUUCCUUUCCUUCCUUCUUCCUCUUCUUGUCUUCUAGAGAGAGAAAGAGAGAUAUGAGAGGGUGUGUGGGUGAGAAAUGAGAUAAAAGAGCUCUCAUACUCCUCACAUAGCCUCACGUGUUGCAUAAAUGCAAAUAAGCCCCUCGACUUUCAUCCUUGUGCACAGCCCUCACUCGGCAUUUUGCGCCCAGAGGGACCGGUCCCUCGUCGGGGAGACCGGUCCCCGAGAGCCCUCUCCGCGGCCUGGGGACCUUUCGCGUACGGGAACCGGUCCCCACCCGAGAGACCGGUCCCUGGGAGACCGGUCCUUCCUGAGAGACCGGUCCCCGAGAGCCGAAUUUUCAGGACUUAGCCUUUCUUUGCCCUUCUCUCGCUGGUGUCGCAUACGGGGACCGGUCCCCUCAACCAGGGACCGGUUGCAUCAACCUCCCCCGCAACCAUCAGCUACGGGGACCGGUCCUCCCUUCCAGGGACCGGUCCCCGAGAGCAAAAUCUGCUAAGUCCAGAUUCUUGCAUAUUUGCUCUCGUGGACACGUUUCCAAUGCACUUUUUGUGUUUUGGACAUCUUUAGCUUUUCCGAAGGAUACUCACUCGACAAAGAGUCGAUCCUGAACGAAGCACAACUCUUGAAUUUCGAGAAUUCACUUCCUUACAUGCACAACCUCGACCACGUCUGGCUAAGGUCUCCGCUGAGGCAUUACCCUACCACUCACACGAGAGUGGCCAAUCACUCGCGAAGUCCCAAGUCUCCGCUCGUUUCGGAUUGCUUAGGGACGCCACUCGUCCCAUCCCACGCCGAUCUAGAUUAAGAUCGCCUACGCGGUGCUAUCGCUUCCUAAGACACGACAACUCGGUCGAUUCUCGACCCUCAAUGUCUAGCGCGAAACAACUGACACCGACUCGAAUCGGGCGAAAGUCAUGCAAGGGUGUCUAUUCUCAUCACUCGGUUUCAUGUUGUGUAUACCCAACAUGAACACCCUCGGUUGAAAAUAAACCACACCUCGAGUCUACCUCUAACAUCCGUUUUAGAGGUUUACUAACCUGACCCAAUUGAUCAAUCUUUCGCCAUAAGUCACAAGUCCUCGUAUCUCACGAGCCUUAUUCUCCUAUGGUUUACUGUCCUAGGGUCUCCUAGGUCCAUCUAAACAAUUGCCCAUUCUCUACUUUCUGCUCUGAUACCACUAUUAUCUGUCACGACCCGCGACCACCUGCCUAUUUGGCCGGGUCGCGGCGCCGCCGACAGACCGCCGAACGGACAGAGUCUCCCCUGUACGUCCUAGGCGUCGCAAUCAAUUCCAAUACAAGAAGUUCCAACCAGGAACAGUAUUCAAGCAAGAUUGCAUAAGAAAGGUAUCAAACAACAUAACACAUCCUAUGUUAUUACAAGCAUUCCUAUUAGAUUCAUUUUUACAUCACAUUUGCAUUAUUACAUUACAUUUUCUUCCAAAUACAAUCAAUGAUCGCAAUAUUAUUACAAGUUUGCUCUUUUUCUUUUCCCUCUACCCCUAGGCUAUGCCGACUCGGGGUACCUCUAUCUCUGGUCUCUCGGGUAGGGCGCUAUCUAUGGAGCUACGCCCUCGCCUCGCGCCGCCGCGCCGCUCACGUGUGAACCUGUAACACCCCAAAACAACGUGGGGUGAGAACCAACUCCAUGGUUCCCAGUGGGUACGGCCACCCAAGGGAAAAGCUCGACCAAUAGGUCUAAGGAGGCCCUGCAACAUGUUAGUCCAACAGAUAUCCAACAGAUAUAUAUAUUCAAGUAUUGAAAUACAUGUUGUGCCUCACAAAAUGCAAUAUGAAAUUCAUGCAGUUUAUGCAACCAUGCAACCAACUAGUAGUUCAAUCGAUACUACUUUCAUUCCUGUUAUUCACAGUUCAACCAAUUGACUUCUAAGUUUUCCUCAAUCUUAGAUUCUUGUCAAUUACAAUUCUGCUCAUAGGGUUUAACCUGCUUUUAUAAGCUAUCCACUCGACUCGGUCUUGAGUCAAUCACACGCGGAAUACCGCACAAAGUAGGGCUCAAGGGGAAGGAUGUCUCACAUGCACCUCAGCCCUAAAUCCACUCAACUGGGAUGCAACUAAAACUCAUACCAUGCAUCAAAUAGUAAAGGUUUACUAUCAUGCUAACAAAUUCGAUCCAUGUUCAAAUAAUAAUGUUCAAUGACACUGUUCACUGUUCUUUUACCCAAUCUGUAGCGAAGCCCUAGGGUUCGUCAAUAACUCAUCUUUCAAUCCCAAAGGGGGGAGGGAGCUCCAAGUGCACCCAAGCCCGGGACUGUCUGCGGACCUCCAUGUGGUCCGGACCUCCAAGUGGUCCUAGUCGCGCGACACUCCGGAGUACUCGACGACAAUUCCCUCCAUGUGGGGAUUGGAUGGCUAUACCACCCUAAACGCAGACUGUGAGCUAGAUCUAUCCUCUCCAAGUGAGGAUACACUGUAACUAGGGUCAACACCCAAUCCAAUCCUCUCCAAGUGAGGAGGCUCUACAACUAGAGUCAAUAACCCAAUCGAAUCCUCUCCAAGUGAGGAUGCUCUACAACUGGAGUCAACAACCCAAUCAAAUCCUCUCCAAGUGAGGAUGCUCUACAACUAGAGUCAAUAUCUCAAUAACUCAUCGACAACCUCUCCAUGUGAGGGUACUUAGGUUUACUAAGUUCUUUAUCCACAAGGCACUUUCUAAAGGUUCACCUAUCCCUAGGUUCCCAAACCUCUAGUGUCAAAUACACUACAUUAAUGCCACUCGAUAUGUUCUUGUUUUCCAAAGUCAAUUUCUCUAAUCGACCAAGUUCAACAUGCAUAAUUCAUCUACUAUGUUCCAUAAUAUGGCAACAUGCAUAAUUCUUUUAUCAUAUGCAAUAUAUGUCAUCAUGUAUGUGUUUCUAUUUAACAUAAUCCACAUAUCAUCUCAUUGGUAGGUAAUAUCAACUACAUAAUAUGUUUCAAGCAUUCAUAUUAUCAUGUAAGCCUACAAAUACAACUAUAUGCAUCAAUGUGAAUUCGUAUGUUUCUUAGACAUAAAGGGCGACCUAGUCGCUUCGGUAAGCACAACCCACCUCAAAUCGCUUUCCGAUUGCUUGUCGACACUUGCAAUCGGCCUCCCGCGGAGCCCGUAACCCGGUUUGGCCCGAUCUCGCGCGCGACCACCCGAACGGCCUCCAAUUUACAAUCUGAAAAUUAAAGGUCUUCGGUUAUGUGCCACGGUGCUUCAAAUCCGUUUUCAUGGGUUUACGAUGUCGCAUCGGCCCUCUAGGCGGAAACGAAGCCUAAACGUCCGUUUCUUUAAUAACUUCGCACCGGCUCGACUAAUCGCCGAACCGUCUUCGCCAACGCGUUCGUUUACCUAGCAAUUAGGUUUACGAAGGGUCAAAUUAGAUCAAACCCUUAUAUUUUACAAAACCCCAUUCGGAGCCCUAAUAUGCAAUUAACCUCAAAAUAAUCCAAAUUAAAUGGAUCAACAUGCUAACAAAGCUCAUUAGAGGCUAUUAGAACACUUAAAGCUAAGGAUUAAGCCAAAUCCCAAAAGCUUACCACAAUGUGAACGCCGCGACGAAAAUAUGCCGCUCCAACGGGCGCACGAAAGCUCGAUCCGUCGCCUCCAACGCGUUCGCAAGCAUCUUCUCCACCAACCCUCCAAUUUUUAGAGAGAGAUUUAGAGAGAUGAGAGAGAUCUCUAGAGAAAGAAGGGAGGGUUUCCCUCCCCCUCCAUGCGCGUGUGUGUGUGUGUGGUGUGUGUGCGGCUGAAGGAGAAGAAGAGGAGUCAACACUCCUCUUUAGUCAACACCACAACACUAUUCACUCCCGGGCUGUUCGAAAUCUGAUAUCUUUCGCCAGAACUCCCUGAACAUCCGUUUGAGCUCAAACUUCACAGUCAUGUUCGGUUUUAUGUACUGAGUAAGAAUAUAUUUUAAUUUUUCAGUUUCGACCCCGUUUGGUCACUGAAAACUGUACCGAACUGUAAUCUUUAUCAGAUAGCUUUCGGAUUUUAUUUCUCACUCUACGGGUGUCAGAAAAAUAUGAAACUUUAAAUCUAGUCUCAUAAAAAUAUUUCUGACUUAUCCUCCAAUUUUUAUAAUUUUCUGAGACUGUGCAUUUUCUGCCUAUUUAUCUGUCCCGUUUCCAACAGAAAAUUCUAGAUCUUCUGUUUUCAUUCCGAUUUCAGCACAAGUCACUUCUAACUUAUGUUUUACUCCUCUAAAUUCAAUAAAAAUAGUAUCUCACACUAUUUUUAUUUAUUUUUAUUUUUAUAUUUAAAAUCCGGUAUAUUACAUUCCACCGCAACCUUACCGGAAUCAUUCAAAUGGCUUUCAAACCAAAUGUACACCGUAACUUCCUAAUUUAGAAGUCCGGUACCUUACAGCCACGAUCCCGUGCCUCCGCCGGUGUAGAAGGCUCUGAAAGGAAACCAAAAAAUAGGGGCGUGAGAACUAUUAAAAAUAGUUCUCAGUGGGCAAUUACUGACUUCAAUGAACUGCGCCACAAGGCCCAAAAGCUACAAAAAGAGGUCAGUGACUAACAAUGUAGUAAAGCGAAAGGUAAGUAAAAUGUAAUUUACUAUAACAUAAGGUCUCUACUUAGCAUGAUUUGCAUAGGUAAUAAAGCAACGAUAUCAUGAAUGUACAUGGAUGUGUAUGACAUGCAUAAGCAUAGAAAUGCAACCAAUCCGAUGUCCUCAAUGCAGAAAUAGUAAAGGGGUCAUAGUUUACUAUUCUAGUCUAAGUCCACUUUAAUGGUUUUAAAGUUCACAUAUCAUAGUGAAUACUCAAGUCAAAUCUGAAGAGACCCACCCGAAGGCUGUCUAUGGCCCUGAGACCCACCCGUAGGCUGUCUGGCCGAUGCCGAGCCUAAUGGCCCCGUGGUAGUCAUUAUCCCCACCCUAGGAAUGAGCCUGGCCCACGGCAAUCCACUUCGACGCCCAAUCCCGCACGGCAAAUAUGAAUCGCGAUGGCUAUCUCCGGAGUGCCGGCUUGUAGGGAGCGACCCUCACAAGCAUGUGCGAAUGAGCACAAUAGCAACUAGUCAUAUGUCCAGUCACAAUACCAAGCCCUCAUGUCUAAUAACAUGGAAUGUAUUGAAUGUCCCAAAGGCCUAUCUCUAUGUCAUCAUGUCUCUAACAUAGAAUAUAUAGUAAAUGUACAAUGGCCUAACAUUAUGUUUCUAUGUUGCAGUUUCAUAGUUUACUAGUUUCAAGUGCCUCUUGAUGACACUUUAUGCUACUAAGUCCAAACAUAGUAUAAUGCUUCCAAUACACGAAUAUGAGCUAAAUUAGCAUACUAGACGAGAAUCUCAUUCGUCCACAUGAACACUCCUCACAUGCAUGAAAAUAACCCUGAUUACUCUACUAUAUAGAGUGAAAUUUAACUUACACAUAAGGCAUGCAUUUUAGGUGUUCGAAAAUUCACAUAAAUUUCAAUUAGCAUAGAAAAGCAUUUAAAAAUACUUUACGAAGAGUUUAGAAAGCAUAGGGGCCAUUUCGCCCCUUUUUCAUGAAGUCAAACCCACCAACGGUAAACGAAGCCCUUCGUUUGCUCCGACGAAGGUGUCCUCUAGCCUCCUAGUACCCUAGAGGUAUGAAAACAAGUGUCACCUAAUCGAAACGAACGACGCUAAGCUCCAUCAUUAAGCUUCUCAAGCUAGGGUUGGGAAAACUCACCUCAAGUGAAAAAACGCUCUCUUAAUCUUCAAAUGGGAGGUAGAGGUCUUCCAAUCUAACCUAUAUAAAGGUUCCAAACCAUUCAAAUGAGAUCAAGAAGCCCCAAAUCAAGAAUUCCCAAAUCUAACCCUAAAAUCUAAAAUCUAGGGUUUCAAUUAACGUAGAGCAAUAAAAUCCAAACCUAGAGGAAGGAAACUAGCCACAUACCUCUAGGAUGCUUCAAACCAAGUCCAAAACCCUCUUAGGUUGAAGAUUGGUCCACCACCAAGCUCCAAUAGCAAGCUCCAAAGCCACCAUGAUGAGAAAUGGGGAAGAAGAUGAUGCUCUAAGGCCUCAAAGCAAGCUCCUCUCCUCUCCUUCUCCUUCUUCUUCUCCUCUUUCUCUCUCUAAGGUGGGUGUGAGGGAGAGAAAUGAGAGUGAGAGCAAGGGAGGAGACUAUAUAAGCCAUCCCAUGUAACAAAAUCCACAUGGGCCCCUCAAAAAAUCAAAUUUACAACAGCCUGGUCUGGGCAGUUUUCGCCCAGAGGGACCGGUCUCCCCGACUUGGGACCGGUCUCUCAGCCUGCCCCGACAAUUCAACGUUCGGGAACCGGUCUCUCCCCGCACGUGACCAGUCUCUCCCCACGCAGAUGCGCUCGGGGACCGGUCUCGCCUGCCAGGGACCGGUUGCCUCGUAAGCUGCCGCAACACUGAGCUGAGGGGACCGGUUUCUCAUAUCAAGGACCGGUCCCCGAGAGUGAAAACUCUAAGGACUUGCCAAAACUCUAGAGAUCGAACUUUUAGGCCGGUAUACCAUCGACGGCCCUCCACCAAGUGUGGAAAAGUUCGGAAUACAUAUUGAACACUCGAACCUCGCAAUUUGCAAAGGUCCAGUGUGCUACAUUCACCUCUCCUAAAAAGGAGUUUCGUUCGCGAAACUCGAAAGCCAAAAGCAUACCUCAAGGCUCCAUCUGAAAAAGAUGGGGAUAGCGCUCCUGCAGCACGCUCUCCAGCUCCCACGUGGCCUCCCGCUCCCCGUAGUUGUUCCAAAGGACCUUCACAUACGGAAUAUCCCGAUUCCGCAGCUUCUUCACCUCGCGAGCCAAAAUCUUCACUGGUUGCUCCUCGAAGCUCAAAUCCUCACGCAGUUCCACUGGUAUAGUCUCCAAAACGUCAGCUGGAUCAUGAAUAUACCUCCGAAGGACCGAUACAUGAAAGACGUUGUGCACGCCCGAUAGGUUCGGUGGUAGAGCAAGUCGAUGCGCUACCGGACCUACACGCUCCAAAACCUCAUACGGUCCAAUGAAACGGGGGCUCAACUUUUCCCGAAUCCCGAAUCUCUUGAUUCCUCUAGUCAGUGAGACCUUCAAGAAAACAUGGUCUCCAACUUGGAACUCCAAGUCUCGCCGUCAUCGGUCGGCGUAGCUCUUUUGUCUACUCUGCGCCGUCAAAAGCCGCUUCCAAGCAAUUCGAACUUUAUCCUCUGCUUCCUGGAGCACAUCAGGGCCUAAAGCCAGUCUCUCGCCAACUUCACUCCAAUGAAGCGGCGAUCUACACUUCCGUCCAUAAAGUGCUUCGAAGGGUGCCAUCUUGAUGCUUGCUUGAUAACUGUUGUUAUAAGCAAACUCCGCCAUAGGUAGAUGCUGCGACCAUCCUCCCUGGAAGUCUAUCACACAUGCCCGGAGCAUAUCCUCUAAGGUCUGAAUAGUGCGCUCCGACUGCCCAUCACUCUGCGGGUGGAAAGCAGUACUGAAGUCCAAACGAGUGCCUAGAGCAUCCUGCAGACUCCUCCAAAAGUGAGACACAAACUGGGUGUCUCGAUCUGAUACAAUCGAUGUGGGCACUCCAUGAAGCUGCACAAUCUCAUCAAGGUACACUUGUGCAAGCUUCUCCCCGGUCCAAGUCGUAUGAAUAGGUAUGAAGUGCGCCGACUUCGUCAACCUAUCCACGAUCACCCAAAUAGCAUCGUGCCCUACUUGAGAGCGAGGCAAACCUGUCACAAAGUCCAUGGUGAUCUUCUCCCAUUUCCACACGGGAAUAGGCAAACUCUGAAGUUUUUCCGCGGGAACCCGGUGCUCAGCCUUUACUUGUUGGCAAGUUAGACAACGAGCUACAAACUCGCCAACGUCCUUUUUCAUCCCGGGCCACCAAUGAAGCAACUUUAAAUCCUUAUACAUCUUGGUGCCAGCCGGAUGAAUAGCAUACGGUGCUCGGUGUGCUUCUUGAAGAAUAUCCUCUUUAAUUUCCGAAUCCGCCGGUACACAAAUCCGUCCGCGGAAACGCAUCAGCCCUCGGUCGUCCACUAGGAACUCGUCGGUGCAACCAUCAACCAUUUUACCUCGAAUCGUUUGCAAUUCCAAAUCGAAAACUUGCUUCUCUUUGAUUCUGUCCAACAAGGUAGGUUGCACUACUAAUGUCAUCAACCUCAAGGGUGUGUCAGGAGUCACCACCUCCAACUCCAACCGCUUCAUCUGCUCGAUCAACUGCGGUUGAGUCACAACAUGCAUCGCUAAGUUUUCCAUCGAUUUCCUACUUAGCGCAUCCGCCACCACGUUAGCCUUACCCGGGUGGUAAAGGAUCGUCAGAUCAUAAUCCUUGAGUAGAUCCAACCAUCCGCGCUGCCUCAAGUUCAACUCCUUCUGAGUAAAUAGGUACUUUAAGCUCUUGUGAUCCGUGUAUACUUCACAUCGCUCGCCAUAAAGAUAGUGGCGCCAUAGCUUCAAUGCGAACACUACAGCCGCCAACUCCAAAUCAUGCGUCGGGUAGUUCUUUUCAUAUUCCUUUAGUUGGCGAGAAGCAUAACUAUAAACCACAUACCCUACUCCAACUACUGGUAGGGUCAAGAUCGGGGCGGUCGUCAAUCUCUGCUUCAACUCUUGGAAGCUUCGCUCGCACGCAUCAUUCCAAAUGAACCUGACUCCUUUAUGCGUGAGCCUCGUGAGGGGAGUAGACAGUUUAGCAUACCCCUCUACAAAUCUCCGGUAGUAACCGGCCAAUCCAAGGAAGCUCCGUAUCUCCGUGACGCUCGUCGGUCUCGGCCAAUCCUUGAUUGCUUCAUUCUUGGGAUCCACGGCUAUACCUGAUCCUGAAAUCAAGUGUCCAAGAAAAGCUACCUCUCGAAGCCAAAAUUCACAUUUCUUCAACUUGGCAUAAAGCUCCUUUUCCCGAAGUACUUGGAGUACAAUUAUCAAAUGCUCCUCGUGAUCUGCAUCACUUCGAGAGUAGACCAAAAUGUCGUCGAUGAACACCACGAUAAACCUGUCUAGAUAAGGCUUGAAAACACGGUUCAUUAGAUCUAUAAAAGCUGCCGGGGCAUUAGUAAGCCCGAACGGCAUAAUUGUGAACUCGUAAUGUCCAUACCGUGUUCUAAAAGCCGUCUUCGAUACAUCCUCGGGUUUGAUCUUUAAUUGGUGGUAUCUAGACUGCAAGUCUAUCUUGGAAUACACACUCGAUCCUUGAAGUUGAUCAAACAAGUCGUCAAUCCUCGGCAACGGAUACUUGUUCUUGAUCGUGACUUUAUUGAGCUCACGAUAGUCAACACAUAGGUGAAGUGAUCCGUCCUUUUUCUUGACGAAUAGAACUGGCGCUCCCUACGGCGAGACACUCGGUCGAAUGAAACCCUUAUUCAAUAGAUCCUGUAGCUGUGCCCUCAGCUCCUUCAGUUCCGCCGGUGCCAUCCUAUAGGGUGCCUUUGAGAUUGGGAUAGUCCCAGAGAUGAGAUCUACCACAAACUCAAUCUGCCUAUCAGGAGGCAUACCCGGUAGCUCGGCUGGAAACACAUCCUGAAACUCUCGCACCACCGGGAUAUCCUCAAUCCUAGGGGUAUCAUCCUCGCCCCUCAACACAACACUAGCCAAAUAGGCUACGCAACCUCUGCUGAUCAGCUGCCUAGCUCGAGACGAGCUGAUCGUCAUCGCAAAAAGCGAACUCCGGCAUCCACUAAAUACCACCUCGGUCUGCCCCGGUUCUCUAAAAGUAACCGUGCGAUUCUUGCAAUCAAUCGUGGCAUAGUACUUGGUCAACCAACUAGCCACAUACCUCUAGGAUGCUUCAAACCAAGUCCAAAACCCUCUUAGGUUGAAGAUUGGUCCACCACCAAGCUCCAAUAGCAAGCUCCAAAGCCACCAAGAUGAGAAAUGGGGAAGAAGAUGAUGCUCCAAGGCCUCAAAGCAAGCUCCUCUCCUCUCCUUCUCCUUCUUCUCCUCCUCUUUCUCUCUCUAAGGUGGGUGUGAGGGAGAGAAAUGAGAGUGAGAGCAAGGGAGGAGACUAUAUAAGCCAUCCCAAGUAACAAAAUCCACAUGGGCCCCUCAAAAACUCAAAUUUACAAUAGCCCGGUCUAGGCAGUUUUCGCCCAGAGGGACCGGUCUCCCCGACUUGGGACCGGUCUCUCAGCCUGUAGCACACUGGACCUUUGCAAAUUGCGAGGUUUGAGUGUUCGAUUUGUAUUCCAAACUUUUCCACACUUGGUGGAGGGCCGUCGAUGGUAUACCGGCCUAAAAGUUCGAUCUCGAGAGUUUUGGCUGAGUCCUGAGAGUUUUUACUCUCGGGGACCGGUCCCUGAUAGGAGAGACCGGUCCCCCAGUGAACAGUGCUGCGCAACCGGCGAGGCAACCGGUCCCUGGCAGUCGAGACCGGUCCCCGAGCGCGUCUGCGCGGGGAGAGACCGGUCCCGCGCAGGGAGAGACCGGUUCCCGAACGUUGGAUUUUCGGGGGCAGGCUGAGAGACCGGUCCCAGGUCGGGGAGACCGGUCCCUCUGGGCGAAAACUGCCCAGACCGGGCUGAUGUGAUUUUGAAUUUUUGAGGGGCUUAUCAGGAUUUUGUUACUUUAGAGCCUAUAGAGAGCCUUUCUUCUCUCUCUUUCCCUCAUUUCUCUCCACCCUUUGCAUUCUAGAGAGAGAAGAAGAGAGAGAGAAGAAGAGAAGAAGAGAGGGAGAAGAAGAGGAAGAAGAAGAGGAGGAGAAGGAGCUUGCUUAGAGGCCUUGGAGCAUCAUCUUCUUCCCCAUUUCUCACUUUGGUGGCUUUGAACUUGUGGUUGGAGCUUUGUGGAGGACCAAACUUCAACCCUACUUGGUUUUGAGCUUGGAUUGGAGCUUCUCUUGAGGUUGGUAGCUUGUAAUCCCCAUUUGAUACAUGUUUUCCUAGGUUUUACUAGAUGAAACCCUAGAUUUUGGAUUUUAGGGUUAGAUUUGGGGAUUCUUGAUUUGAGGCUUCUUGAUCUCAUUUGAAUGGUUUGGAACCUUUAUAUAGGUUAGAUUGGAAGACCCCUACCUUCCAUUUGAAGAUUAAGAGAGAGUUUUUCACUUGAGGUGAGUUUUUCCCAACCCUAGCUUGAGAAGCUUAAUGAUUGAGCUAUUUGCUCUUCGUUUUGUUUGGGUGACCUAUUUUGAUCUUCAGGGUGACUAGGAAAGCUUGUGAUACCUCGUUCGGCGAAGAUCUGAAAAGUGAUUUGGUGGUUUGGUCGUGACAUGGGCGCGCAAUGGCCGCUAUGCAUCUUUCGUACUUGUUUUAAAUAUUUUUAAUUUAUCUCUAUUCUAAUGAAUUAUAUUAUGAAUUGUUAGAGCACUUAAAGCGCAUGCCUUGUGUAUUAUGAAAACUUGCACUAUAUAUAGUAGAGCUAUAUGAGUAAAUGCAUGCAUACGGGAAAGUGUUUAUUUGCAAAGUGGAUAAAUACAUCUUAUGAGAAUUAAUUGGAAUAUGUACUUAGACAAGUUGCCAUGCUUGGACAUAGAGAACAAGAUGUCAUCAAGGGCACUUGAAACAGUAAGCUAUACAACUUGCGACAUAGGACAUAUUGAUUAGGCGCACUAUUAUCGGCCUACAGUCCAUGUUAGAACAUGAUGACAAGAGGAAUACGGCCGUUGAGAAUACCUUGACACAUUCCAUGUUGUUAGACAUGAGGACUUGUACUUGCGCGAUCGUUUGACUACUUUGCAUGUGCUCAUCUCGGCACAUGCUUAGUGAGGUCCGUCCCUAAGCUCGGCACUUAGGCAGUCAUAGCCAUCGCGAUUCAUAUCGCCGUGUGACGGGAUUGGCCGCCGAAGUGGAUUGCCUGGGCCAGGCUCAUUCCUAGGAUGGGGAUGUUGACUACCACCGGGGCCAUUAAGCUGCACGGCAGACAGCCUACGGGUGGGUCUCAGGCCAUAGACACCUUCGGGUGGGUCCUUCAAGAUUUGACGUUGAGUAUUCAUUAUUGACAAUUGGACAGAUGAUGACUUAAGAUAUUUUGAACAUGACUAGAAUAGUAAUACAACGAACUUUUAAACUAUUUCGCAUUGUAAACAUUAUGAUAUGUUGGAGACUUUUACUUCAUGCAUAGUUGCUUCAUACUUAUGCUAAUUACGCUAAGUAGAGAUAUCAUGUUGUAGUAGGUUACCUUAUUUUUACUUACCUUUCGCUUUUCUACUGUUAUUGUCACUGACAUCUUUUGUAGCUUUGGGCCUCGUAGUGCAUUCACUGAAGUCAGUAAUUGCCCACUGGGAACUAUUUUUAAUAGUUCUCACGCCCAUGUUUUAUGGUUUACCUUUCAGAGCCUUCGGCACCGGCGGAGGCACGGGAUCGCGGCAAGGGGAUCGCUUAGCUAGCUAGCGAGGAGCGGUACUUUGCCUAGGUGGUUUACUCUUUCUUUUUGUAGUUGAGAGAAUGAGAGUUUUUGUAUCCAUGUAUAGAGACCACCUAUGUAUCUACCUAUAGCACUUGUAUCUGGGAUUUUCUUGUAUCACUUUAUGUUUUUAUCUUGUGGAUUUAUAGUUUUAUCCUUAUCCCUUGUUGUAGCAUUUAGACAUAUAUUAUGCUCUGAUACUCCUAGAUAUCUUUUAUUAUUGCUUUUAUUAUCGUUGUUUUUAGACGCCUUAUAUGUUUUAGACGUAUGGCGGGUCUGGGCACGUGCCGGGCGGGCUUCCGCUGGGUCCCGAGGCGUGACACAGCCUGCCCCGACAAUCCAACGUUCGGGAACCGGUCUCUCCCCGCACUGGACCGGUCUCUCCCCGCGCAGACGCGCUCGGGGACCGGUCUCGCCUGCCAGGGACCGGUUGCCUCGCAGGCUGCCGCAACACUGAGCUGAGGGGACCGGUCUCUCAUAUCAGGGACCGGUCCCCGAGAGUGAAAACUCUCAGGACUUGCCAAAACUCUAGAGAUCGAACUUUUAGGCCGGUAUACCAUCGACGGCCCUCCACCAAGUGUGGAAAAGUUCGGAAUACAUAUCGAACACUCGAAUCUCGCAAUUUGCAAAGGUCCAGUGUGCUACAGUGAUAUAGGACGCUUCGUGGCGAAGUGCUUAACGUGCCAACAAGUGAAGGCCGAGCGUCGAUUUCCGGCGGGAAAGCUUCAAAGCCUACCAAUCCCCGUUUGGAAAUAGGAGGAUAUAUCGAUGGAUUUCGUGGUCGGCUUGCCUCGCUCAACGGGCGGCUACGAUGCAAUCUGGGUAAUUGUAGACCGAUAGUGAGACUGCAUGGGGUGUCGAAAUCGAUCGUGUCGGAUCGUGACCCCCGGUUCACUUCACACUUCUGGAAGAGCCUGCAGGGAGCCCUUGGCACACGGCUCGACUUUAGUAUCGCAUUUCAUCCUCAGACCGAUGGGCAAACAGAGAGAACCAUCCAAACUCUAGAGGACAUGUUGCGAGCGUGUGUUAUUGACUAUAAAGGAAGUUGGUGUGACCACCUACCUGUGGCCGAGUUCGCCUACAACAACAGUUAUCUUGCUAGUGUGGAGAUGGCACCGUUCGAGGCUCUCUAUGGGCGGACGUGUCGGUCUCCUAUACACUGGAGCGAUGUAGGUGAACGGGCUGAGUUCGGCCCCGAUGUGUUGCGAGAAGCGGAAGAGAAAGUCCACCUUGCUCGCAAAAGAUUGCUCACGGCGCAGUCGAGACAGCAGAGCUAUGCGGAUAGGCACCGACGAGAUAUAGAGUUCGCGGUGGGUGACCGCGUAUUCUUGAAGGUUUCACCGAUGCGGGGCGUAAAGCGGUUUUGAGUGCGAGGAAAGUUAAGUCCCCGGUACAUUGGACCCUAUGAAAUAUUGGAGCGAGUUGGCACGGUGGCUUAUCGACUCGCUUUGCCCCCGAAGCUUGUGGAUGUACACAAUGUGUUAAAUGUCUCCAAUCUCCGCAAGUAUAUUCACGAUCCCGAGCAUGUGAUACUAUACGAACCGCCGGAACUUCAAGGAGAUUUGAGCUAUGAAGAGUUUCCGGUAGGAAUUAUCGCCCGAGAGGUGCGAAAGUUGAGGAAUCGAGAAAUCCCGUAUGUGAAGAUUAGGUGGAGUAAUAACGAUGAUCGCGAGACCACCUGGGAACUCGAGGAUCGGAUGAGAGAGCACCAUCCUCAUUUAUUUGAGGAGUAAGGUAUGAAUUUAAAUUAAAGUUAGAAAAUUUGAUCGUUUCGAGGACGAAACUCCUUUUAAGGAGGGGAGGAUGUAAGAAAGUGAAUUCUCGAAAUCCGAGAGUUGUACUUCGUCCAGGACCGACUAUUUGUCGACAGAAUACCCUUUGGGGAAGUUAAAGAUGUCCAAAGCACAAAGGGUGCCUUGGAGUUGAGUCCGCGAGAGCAAAUCGGCAAAAUCUGGACUCAGCAGAUUUUUGCUCUCGGGGACCGGUCCUUGGAGGGAAGGACCGGUCCCCGUAGCUGAGGGUCGCGGGGGAGGUCGAUGCGACCGGUCCCUGGCUGAGGGGACCGGUCCCCGUGCGCGACACCCGCGAGAGGAAGCCUGAAUUUGGCUAAGUCCUGAAGGUUCCCCUUUCAGGAACCGGUCUCUCAGGAGAGACCGGUCUCCCAGGGACCGGUCCCUCAGGUGAGGACCGGUUUCCGAACGCGAAAAGUCCCCAGACUGCAGGGAGAGCUCUCGGGGACCGGUCCCUUGUCGGGGAGACCGGUCCCUCUGGGCGAAAACAGCCCAGUGACAGCAGGUUAAGAGAUGAAAAGUAGAGGGACUAAGGUGAAUUUUGUUACAAUAGAGGGGCAUAUUAGCCCACUCCCUCUCUCAGCCUCUCAUUUCUCUCUCUCUUACUCUCUUUCUCUCUUGCUCUCUCUCUCUCUAGAGAUAACAAAGAAGAAGAAGGAGAAAGAGAAGAAGAAGAAGGAAGAGAAGAAGAAGAAGAAGAAGGAGCAGAAGAAGAAAAAGGCUUGGAGCAUCUUCCUCUCUUCCUCUCCUCUCCAUUGGUGUAGCUCAAGAGGUAAGCUACAAACCCUAGCUAUGUAUACUUAGGGUUUUUGGGUUUUUAUGCUUUGGAAUGGGUCAAAUGGACCCCAAGAAUGCUUCUAAGUAGAUCAAUCCCAUGAAUCUAGGGUUUUAUUGGAGGUUUGCUAUAUGUGCAACCUAGGGCUCCAAAUAGGGGCAUUUUGUAAAGUAUGAGAUUGAUCUCAUUUGAGGCCUUGUAAACCUAAUCGAUAGGUGCCCAAACGCGAGGGCGAAGUUGAUUUUGCGAUUCAUCGAGCGGGCUUAGAGCUAUCGGCGAAAUACGGUCGUUUUGGCACUAUCCUGGACCAAGGAAGGCUAAAGCCUUUUCGUAAGGCUCGCCGAGAAGCGUUCCUAAAGCCUCUACGUUGGUAAAAAGUGGGGGGUGCCAUCCCGAAGCUUUCGAACUCCUUUCUAUGUCUUAGAUUGCAUUUAAUCUCAUCUCUUCAUGUUGCAUCGUAGGAUUGCAUAGUAGCUCCAUUCCUUAUGCUUUCUAAAUGAUAACCUAGUGUAUUUGGAACGUUUGGUGACUUGAAUAGAUGAGGGUUGGGUCGGAACGUGGAUCCUAUGAUGUGAAAGAAAAGAGAUGAACCCGAUGGGGGUAUUGAUGACAUAGAAAGUAGUGUUUAGUGUAAAAGAACACACGUGUAGCAUCCAAAAGUUAAAUGAUGACGAGUUGCAUUAAUGUAGUGUAUAUGACACUAGAGGUUUGAGAACCUAGGGAUAGAUGGAUCCCUUAGAAAAUGCCUUGUGAACAAUAAAUUUAGAGAAACUAAAUAGCAUUGCAUGAAUGUCGGGAACAAAUGAUCCCGCGAGAGAUGUUGACUCUAGUUGUAGAGCACCCUCACUUGGAGAGGAUUGGAUUCGGUUGUUAACCCUAGUGGUAGGGUAUCCUCACUUGGAGAGGAUAGAUCUAGCUCACAGUCUGCGUUUAGGGUGGUACAGCCAUCCUAUCCCCAUAUGGAGGGGAUUGUCGUCGAGUACUCCGGAGUGUCGCGCGACUAGGACCACUUGGAGGUCCGGACCACAUGGAGGUCCGCAGACGGUCCCGAGCUUGGGUGCACUUGGAGCUCCCUCCCCACUUUGGGAUUGAAAGGUGAGUCAUUGGCGAGCCCUAGGGCCUCGCCACAGAUUGGGUAAAUGCAAGGUUAAAGGUUUUGAAGUGUCAUUGAACAUUACUAUUCGAACAUGGAUCGAAUUUGCUAGCAUGGUAGCCAACCUUUAAUUAUAUGAUGCAUGCAUUCAUAUUCAUGAUUAUGGGCAUAGUAGCAUAGUUUUCCUACUACCGCAUUUACUGCUUUCAGAUACAUAUCUAUCUAUCUAUCUGUUGUUACUUGUGCCCACUUGGACCUAGUGGGGAGAUCGGCAGAGUCGGCGGCCGAGCCCACUGGGAACUAUGGAAGAUAGUUCUCACCCCACUCUAUUUCCAGUGGUAGGUUCAGGGCUGUCGAGAGAGGACCGCGGCAAGGGCAUCGCGCCCGAUCAGUGAGACCGUGGUAGUAUAGUAGCUUUCCUUUUUGCAUUAGUACACCUAUGUAUUUGAGAGAGGCGUUGUAGGUGAGGAUUUGGAGAGCUAUGUAUUUUGAGAUGAAAAAUGUAAUCUCUUAAAGAAAAUGAUGUAAAUGAAAAUAGUGAAACUAUUGUAAUAGCUAGUAAAGUACUCUUUUUAUUUCACAUGCUUUAUCUUGUGGAUUACCUGCUCUUUGUAGUUGCUGGCACUGUUUGUGCCCUUGUGAAUGUGUAUGUUUAGAAUUUAAAUUCCUGGGUAAAUUUUUGUACACAUUCUUGUUGUGAGCCUUGGGCGGACAGGGGAGGUGCUGUCUGUUCGGCGGUCCGCUCGGCGCGCCCGAAUCGUGCCAAAUUGGUAGUGGUUUCGGGGCGGGGCAUGACAUCUACCAAUUAUCUGCUCAUGUAUGCAGCAACCAGAGCUAAACUAUUUUCAUCAGGGCAAUAACUCAGCCUUUUUUUUUCAUGAUCUUAAGAACAUGGUUAUAAGCUUUAACUGUUGAUCCUAAAGAUUCAUAAGAACAUGAAAAAUAACAAAAAUAUUAAAUAUUUUAAAAAAAACUAAAACGAAUCAUGCCAAUUCUAAAAUAAGCCAAUAGAUCGAAAGAGAAAAAGCCCCAAAUACCUAUAGAUCCCGAGAUUGGGGGUAUUAUCCAAGGACCCUGAGGAGCUGAUGCUUGAAGCCAAAGCCGAGCCCGACGCGGACCCGCGAUGCCGACGCCGUCGCCGUGCUCGUGGUGUGCGGCGGCAGGGAGUGGUGAGGAGAUGGAUGCGGGGUAGGUGAGCGGGUGUGCCUGCGUCGGCCGCUGCUCACACCCGUCGUUGAAGCUCCACGGCAGCUCCCGUCCCCUCCAAUUCCGCGUGGUGAUCGCCGGAGAUCUCUCCAGCGGCGAUCGCCUGAGAGAUCGGCAGGAACGAAAGUUGGUUACGAAUGGGAAGGGUUUGGGAGAAAAAAAUGUCGGAAGAAGUUUGGGGAUUAGGUGAGGUUUGGGGAUUUAAAAUACAACAUACAAAUAUGAAUAAAAUAAAAGAAGUGUUAACAAUUUUGUCAACAUUUGUUGUGGUGCAGUGGUUAAGAGGCAUACACCUUUUGUAAAGAUUGCAGUUUCAAGUCCCAUCCUUUUAUUUUGUGACAGUUUUUUUUUUUUUUGUUUUGUAACUAAAAGCUUUUUUGGUGACAUAUGAAAUUCAAAUUCGUAGCAAAUGCACUACUUUUUUGUAGUGUUGGGACUUAUCUAAAAUAUUUCUAAUCCAUAUGGGAUAAGAAAUAAAUAUUUGUAACUAUCUGUUAUAUUUCUAUUCCACAUGGGAUAUGGAAUAAAUCUAACAGAUAAACCCUAAUCUAUUUAAAUCUCUAUCUAUGUGAGAUUUAGUUAGAAUAUGAUUAGGAUUAAUGUCUCCCUUAUGGCCUAUAAAUACAUGAGGUAUUGACCAUAUGUGUAACACACUGGAGUUGUGCAAAUUGCAAGGUUCAAGUGUUUGAUCUGUGAUCUGAGUUUUUUUGGAUUUUCUGGAGGGUCGUAGACAGUGUUCCGACCCAUGGCUCGCAUCCCGAGAAUCGAGGUUUUAACUUAGCACCAAUGUCUCUGCAGGGAAGUGUACCGGUACAACAUUGAUGUUGUACCGGAACACUUGGUUGUACCGGUACAACAUCGGAUGUGUAUCGGUAUAGAUGGAAUUUUCUGCCAACCCGAGCCUCGGGUUUGCGUGUACACUGGGUUUGUACCGGUACACUUUUUCGUGUACUGGUACACAUUGCAGUGAGGGCUGUUUUAGUUGGAGGGUGCAAUUGCAAUUGUUGCAAACUCUUUAAAUACCACCCAGCCCCUUUAAGAGCUCUUUUGAGCCCUAACCUGUGGAGAGCAAGGUGAGAACUCUCCCCUUUGAUUUCUUCUCAAUUUUUGAUGGAUUUUAGCAAGUUUUGAUCUCCUCUUUCUUGCUUUUCCUUGCUUCAUGUUGGAUUCCACCAUGGGAGAAGCUUGGACUUCGAGAUUGGAGCUUGAUAGAGGAAGAACUUCAACCCUAGCUCUUUUGCUAGCUUGUUUUGGAGCUCUUGUGAGGUUUGUAAGCUUAAUCCGCUCUUUGAUUCGUGUUUUAGUAGAUUCUACUAGUUGGAACCCUAGAAUUGGGAAUUUAGGGUUUAAAAUGGAGAUUUUUGAUUUGAGACUUUUGGAUCUCAAUUGUUUGACUUAGAACCUUCCUUUAGAUUGGUUUUGAAGGGUUCUUGCUCUCUUUGGGAAUCAAGAGGGAUUUUCACCUUUAUAGGUGAGUUUUUGACCUUUUCUUCGAGACGGUUAAUGUUUGAGCUUACGGUUGUUCGUUUCGUUCGUUUAACUCUUCCAAUAUUACCUUUAGUGUACUAGGAGAGUAGUGGACACCUUUGUCAGCGCAAACAAAGGGUUUCGAGAAGUCUCAGUGGGUUUGACUUCAUUGAAAAUAGCAGAACUCACUUUUGUCAACUUUUAAUUGUUGUAAAAUUGAAAUGCAUGUGUAUCCAUGCUACAUAGAGCCUACGAGUUAUUUUGAAUGCUUAAAAUACAUGUGUUAUGUAUGAUGAAAAUUACCUCUAUAUAGUAGAGAGAGACAUGUGCAUUGUUAGCAUGCAUGAUAGCAUUCUAUUUCAUGGCUUGAAUUCUUGCAAAGAAAAUGGGUUGCAAAAUAUGUUCUUGAACUUAGAAUUUAUGUUGGACAUAGCGGACAAAAGUGCCAUAAGGGGGCACUCAACCUAGUAAACGGUUAAAUUGCAACAUGUUGACAUAGAAAUUAAUGGAUACUUGCUUCAUUCCAUUUUUAGACAUGAUGACAUAGUGAUAGGCCAUCGAGAUACUUGCUUCAUUCCAUGUUUUAGACAUGAUGACGUAGUGAUAGGCCAUCGAGAUACUUGCUUCAUUCUAUGUUUUAGAUAUGAUGACAUAGUGAUAGGCCAUCGAGAUACUUGAUUCAUUCCAUGUUUUAGACCUGAUGACAUAGUAAUAGGCUAUCGAGAUACUUGCUUUAUUCCAUAUUUUAGACAUGAUAACUUGGGACUUGAGACAGACUUUUACGCUUGCUUGUCAUUGUGCUCAUUCGUACAUGCUUGUGAGGGUCGCUCCCCACAAGCCGGCACUCCGGGGAUAGCCAUCGCGACACAAGCUCGCCCGUGCGGGAUUGGGCGUCGAAAUGGGAUGCCGUGGGGGAGGCUCAUUCCAAGAGUGGGGAUGUUGACUACCACAGGGCCAUUAGGCACAACGUGUCACGCCCCGGGACCGAUCCCUUUGGUCGGUCCGGGCACGUCAAACAGACGCCGAACGGACAGAGCCUCCCCUGUCCACCCAAAGCUCAACACAUGUACAAUUCAAGCAAAGAGAAUGCACAAGCGGAAACAUACAUAACGGCUUCCACGAGGGUAAGCAAUAGCCAGAGUGAAAGAAUACUAAACUAUACAACAUACAAGUAGAAUGAUUAACUUUUAACUAUUUACAAGCAUUCAACCUUUACAUUCAUGAUUCUUUUACAACAUACAUGCUUUUCAUCAUUUCUUUUUACAUCACAUUUCCUCAAAAUAGAAUACUUACACUCAUUUCUUCAACAUCUCUAAUCAUCAAAUACAAAAGAUGAUAUAUGGGUAUGCAACUACAAAACAUGAAACCCAACUUGGCGGUCACUGUCUACGGCGCGAUACCUUUACCGCGGUCGCUCACCGGCUCUGUAAUAUACCGAAAAUUCAGAAAAUAAAUAUCGAACUUUAGUCAAAUUGACCAAAGUGCGAGGUUGGAACACUUCGGGAAGUCUGAAGGUGUUAAAGUAGUCAAAAGUGUGUUGUGGAAGGUUUUUGAGAGCUAAAGAAUCAAAUCCUGCGAAACUGCAGAUUUUCAGCUCUCGGGGACCGGUCCCUGGUGGGAGAGACCGGUCCCCGAACGCGUAUGAAAUGAGACAGACGAAAAAAUCGGCUAAGUCCUGAGAAAUUAGCUCUCGGGAACCAGUCCCUGCCUGAGAGACCGGUCCCCGAGAGACCGGUCCUCCAAAGAGAGACCGGUUGCCCUGCGCGCAGCAGCCCUGGCUGCGCGGGGAGAGCCUUCGGGAACUGGUCCCUGAAGGAGAGACCGGUCCCCGCCUGGGGAAGUGUAUUAAAGUGAAAGUUGAGGGGUUUAUUAGCAAUUAUGCAACCCAAUAGCUAUGGUGUGAGGGCUAAUGAGAUUUUCUCUCAUUCUCACCCUCUCAAACACUAUUUUCUCUCCCUCUUUCUCUCUAGAAGACAAAGGAGAAGAAGAAGAAAGAAAGAAAGGAAGGAAAAGAAGGAAAAGAAGGUGAAGAAGAAGAUCAAGAGGUGAAGCAACUUCAUCUUCUUCCUCUCUAGCUUGGAAAAUGAGAGCUUACAAGGUGAGCUUUGAACCCUAUUGUAGUAAAACCCUAAAAUGGGCUUUGAAUAAACCUAGAAAUGGUUUUAAUGGGUUAUUUAGAGUCUUUGAAGCUUUCUUUUUGCUUCUUUAGAGAUCAAAACCAUGGUUUAGCUUGAGGNUGCCACUAACUAGGCCACUCUAACCACGUAUCCAGCGAAGGGAAAACCCAUCUGCUCAGAGCUCAGCUGUCACACCCCUGUGACUUCGCUUAUACGUCCACAACAAUCUCUUGUUCCCAUGGCUCGCACUGGUUGCGCUCUUCAGUGAACCUACAGAUGAGUGAGCAGUCACUGAAUGAGUUAACAACGUCAUCACACUGACCAGGAAACUGGACGCCACGGAGCCGAUAAGUGUUACUCCAAUGACAUCAAACUGACAUGUAUGUGAACCAGGGAUCGGUAAGCCCAGGAACGCCACGUACAACCGACGUCAUCCAAGUAACAUCCUUAUCCCACGCGUGAAUCUACCUUAGAUAGAGGGAACCAUCUAUGCCCACAAUCAGGAUACACUAAAUACUCUGGCUCAAAUCUUCUGGAACCGGUCCCGUCUUAUUUAUCGCCUUUUCCCAAAGGCUAUAAUCUUUGAGCUCAGCUUAUUUAAAUUGUAUACUGUCUGCUACCCCAAACUGCUCAAUAAGGUAUUGGAGGCAGAUCAGCCCUGAGUACUAUCUUCCUAACAUAGUGUGCCAUUGACGUGGUUCUCCAAGUAAUAAGGUAAGAUGACCUUACGGUGAUGUACGACGAUCCGCAGUGACCACCUACCACUCUGAGUACUCUUAAUAGAUCUACUAGCUAUUAAGAAUAACCCGACUCAACCUUAACAAGGCUAGGUAACUUUUCUCAAAGUCACUAUAACAACUAUCACUAGUUUUAUAUAGAGUGAUGGUCUAUCUUAUCUUGGAUACCCCAGUGUGUGUAUUCUCCAACACUAACUAGCUUAUCGAUCUAACGCUAAUAACUUAGCAGCCUCCUGGAUUAACAGUUAUAUUACUAUUAACCUGAUUAAACAUUAACAAUGUUUAAUCACCAUAAUUCCACAUUGACAAUGUUCUCUCCUGAAUAAUUAUCAAUCAUUUAAUAUUCUCCUGAAUACACGUUUACAACGUAAUAAUUAAACUAUACUAGUUUAAUUAUAUUUCUAGCUUAGUUUAAUCCUAAACUAGCUAGAUUGGUUAAUUCCUUUCCUAUUUAAAUUAGAUCUAAAUAUGAAUAGGAAUUAACAGUAAUAUAAUAAUCCUUAUCCUAAUAUAAGGAUAUAUAUUAUAUGCCCUCAAAAAUCUUUUGGGUUCGGCAGUAGAUAGGAGAGAAGAGAGAAGGUAGAAGAUCGUUCUUUCUGCAAGAAAAACGUUCCCUCGAUCGUGGGGCCACUCCUGUAGCUAGUUUAGUUCUUGGAGCACACCUAUGGAUAUCUCCAGCCUGCGCACACGCCGAAGUUCUCUUGGGCUAAGAUGCUAGUAGUUUAACUCCACUUCUAGAUAGUUGCUUUUUCCAUUUCUAAGCUAGAACAAAAAAAAGGGAAAUUAGAAUUUCGUACUCCCUAGGAUUAACGCACCAAAAACUCUAACCUAGAGCUCUCAAAAGAUUUUAGUUUAAACAAACUAAAGAAAAAGGCGACGCAAAAAUGGCAUGCGUUAAAGAUUGUUCCAGGUGAUUCUGAGUUGGGAUCCGAGACUAUGGUUUAAUUAGACAGUGCGGGGCCCUGGCCGCCUCCGGGAGGGCCAUCGCACGGGUCUGGGCGGUAUACAGAUGUGUAUAUUCCGCAGAUGUUAUUUUCGCCUUCAUUUCGUUCUCUAUCUUGUUUAUUUUAUUCACUUUACUGAUCGUUGAUUACUAUAGUCUCGCUCAUCUCAAGAUAGUAGAUGUGGUCUCAUUUCUUUAUCUCGAUCUGUUAUUUCUUUGUUAUUCAUCAUGUGAUAGUCAGAGUUUUCAUGUUUUUACCACCAGAGAUUAUGUGACCAUGUCGAGAGUUGGAGAGGUUUUUCUUUAUGUAGCUCUCCAUCUGGUGGAUUUGAGCAGAGAGCGACUUCCCGAUUGAGCUUCGCUGCGGGAAUGGUGCCAGGGAUCGGAGAGGGCCGCACCUUCCGAGACUCUCUUUUCGAUUUUGUCUCCCGCACUCUUGAUAUUAAAUAUCAAGGGUCACCCGUUAAUGACUGGAGUCGAGUAACGUGGUGAUCCGGGUUUUCUCUUCCCAUUCAGUUUUCGUUAUUGCUCAUUAAACGUAGAUACUUUCGUAUUACUUUUACGAUUUAUAAUGAACGUUAAUUUGUACCGUAAGUACAUUACGUGUUACUAGAACAGUACUUCUUACACAGAGAUGAAUCGGUAUUUAUUACAGUACCAGACGAAUUACUUUAAUACUCCUAAUAGGGAAUAGCAUCGUUGUAACAAAUAUACUUACGUUAAUUCGUUACAGAGGAUCGUAUGAUGAACAUACAUACAUAUGGGUUUCAGGUUUAGAUACGAUCUUUGUUCAGGCUCAUUAGGUUGAUGGUGAGAGAUAAAUCAUCACUAAUAUUGUUUGAGUAGGGCACAGCUAAAGGUAAAGGUUAAUUCCUGGAUGGUUUCCAUCAGGUCGAACACGGCGGAUUCACGGACACCAUCGGGCUGUAGGGAUGAGAACCUUACACAGACAGGGUGAGCUGGGGCAUCCGAAGAGUUAUGGCGUGCUCGCUUGUAUUCAGCGCAUCCGAUUGAGGCCUCACGGCCGAACAUCCUUCGCUGGGAGUGUUCGUACACGCUUACUCGUGUUUACCGUUUGUUCGUUCCAGUGACAGAGUUCAUGAGAUAGGUGUACAGAGAUUGUACCGUUCCAGUGAUCGUAGGGUUCCCAGAUCGGGUUACAGAGAUUCACUACAGGGUUGUGAGUGAACGAAUCACGGAGAAAUACUGUGAAUUCUAUGGAGAAAUACUGUGAAUUCGUAGUGUUAUCUAGCUCGGGUUUAGAACAAGAUACAAAGUUAAUUUUGUAAUUAUGGUUACUAAUGGUACUGGGCCCGGAUUACGGAGAAAUACUGUAACAGGGUUAAGAGUUUAUCAGGUUCAAGAGUUCGGGAGAGAUCCGAAGAUUGUAAGGAUUACAGUGUUAACCGUAUAUCCAAUUUACAUACUUUCGUUCUAAGUAAAGGUAUUAUCCUUAGUACCAAGGGUGAGUAUUGAUCUUACGAUUCAGAGUGUACGUACGUGAGAUGGUGUAUCCCCAGAUUUUAAAGUGAUAUGUAUUAUAUACGUACAAUUCGUAAGAUUUUAAGUAUAAUUUAUGUAAAUUAUACCUUUCCGUACUUAAAGAUGAAAUGCUUUGUAUAAAACGGUUUAUACUCGUAAAGAGUAUAGUAUCCGAUCCAGUUUGGGUGGCUUGGCAGCGCACGAGGAAGCUAAGCGGCUUACCUCAACAGGUGCUCAGAGUGUUAUGGGAUUUUCACUAGUCGCUUCUCUAUGUGCCCGUAAUGCUAGUUGAUAUUCUAGUUUGAAAUUGUUUGAACCGUUUUCCCGAUUUUGAGUGGAUUACACACUUUUUAGAGAGAGUUCGGGGUUUUCUCUGAUUUAGGGAAGGUUAGGUUCGAGUUCCUUCCAAGUUUAGGUUAGUUAGAUCGGAGUUUUCGGGAUCUAGUUUUUCGGGGUUUUUAGUUGGGAUUAUGGGUAAGAUCCCAAGGUUUACCAUUUUGGAUGGUUUAGUUCCUAGUUUCCCAUCUUAGGUUCAUGAUUGGAGGGUUCUACGGAGGUUUGUCCGAGGUUUAGAAGAUCCCAACUUCUAACCAGGUGGUGGUUCGAGAUGUUCGUUCGAGGUUCGGAACGUUUCCACCUUUUCUCUCUUUUCCCCAACUCGAGGUUCGAGGGAGUUCGAUCGAGGAGAAGAAGAAGAGGAGGAAGAAGAAGAAGAGAGAGAUCUUUCACAUCCCUCUCCCACUCUUACUCUUUUACUCUCUCCCUUCUCCUCCUUUACCGAUUAUUCGGGUAGAUCACAUUGUUUUAGGCCUCUCCGGGGAGUUUUUAAGUUUAAAUGUAAUCGGGCUUGACCCGUCAAAAGCGGGUCUCCCUGGCCAGAGAGGGGUCGUCCCUGGCCAGAGAGCGACGCUUGGGCUUUUUGGUUGUAAGCCCUUGGCCAGAGAGGGACGCGCCCUGGCCAGAGAGUGACGCAUCUGCGCGAGCCCCUGGCCAGAGCGGGCGGUCCCUGGCCAACGGAGUUCCGACGGCGUCGUGACGAGUGACCCCCUGGCCAGAGAGGAAAGUCCCUGGCCAGGGGCUCUCAUUUUUGAGAGUCCUGACAGGUCUUAAAAUC
rnacentral:lncRNA from 1 species